rnacentral:lncRNA from 1 species
CCGGUACACCAUAAUGGCUGUACCGGUACACCAAGCAGAAAAGGCUGAUUUCGCCCAAUCAAUACACUUUCUUGCUUUUAGCAUUCCAAUCAUCCUCUAACUUAUCCAAAAACUUGUUCUAACCUUUUAGAACAUGUAGGAGUGAUCCACACACCAUUCCACACACUCGAACUUCGCAAUUUGCGAAAGUCCAGUGUAUUACAGAGUACUAGCGCGCCGGUCGAGGAUCGUGGUAAGGGCUUAGCGCCCUAGAGGUUGUAGUAGUUUACUUUCCUACUUGCAUUUAGAGUACCCUCGUGUACGCAGAUGAUCAUGUAUAUUUUGGGAUGUAUUUGGGAGAGUACUUAUGCAUGUGAGAUGAAUAUGUAUCUAAAUGAGGAGGUGAACUUGUAUCAUAUUUUGGGAUAUGUAAAUGUAAAGUUAAUCAAAUGUAUUAAAGUUGAAUGGAUGUAAUAGUUUGGUAUCUUUCUUUUAUUCACUUAUAUAUGCUCUACUUGUGAUGCCUGCUUUUGGUUGUUCAGCACUGGUUGUGCUCUCGCUUUUGUUGCUCGAUUGUGUAUGUAUUCAAGUUAUUUUUCUGGGCACUUGUUGUACACGAUCACGUUGUUUAGUCUUGAGGGGACAGGGGAGGUGCUGUCCGUCCGGCGUCUGUUCGACGCGUCCGAGCCGGACCAAAUUGGUAGCAGGUGUAACAUACCACGUCCCUCGUAAAUCGUGCCGAGUUCCGUCAAAACGAGCGGAACGCAGAGUUGAAUGAGUUAGAGUGGACCCUAAGAGCAUUAAAGUCCAUAAGUGAAGCUAAAAGGGACCCGAGAGAGAGUAAAUCUAGAAAUCUGGCUAAGUCCUAGAUUUUGUGCUCUCGGGGACCAGUCCCUGAAGGAGAGACCGGUCCCCGUACGCGUAGCCUGCCAGGAAAUCCUGAGGCUUCCGGUCCCUGGUGGUGAGACCGGUCCUUGGGAGAUCGGUCCCUCGCUGCGCAGCAGCUGAAAAACGGGAAAAUUUGGCUAAGUCCUUGAAAACCCACGUUCGGGAACCGGUCCCUGGUCGGGGAGACCGGUCCCCAAAGGCGAAAAAUGCCCAGUCUUGGCAGAUCAAGAGGAAACAAGUGGAGGGGCUUAAAUGCAAUUGUCACAACGGAUGCUUGCUUUUGUAAUGUUCGGCACUGGUUGUGCCCUCGCUAUUGUUUUGAUCAUGUAUGUAUUCAAGUUGAUUUUCUAGGAACUUGUUGUACAUGAUCCUGUUGUUUAGCCUUGGGCGGACAGGGGAGGUGUUGUCCAUUCGGCAUCUGUUCGACGCGCCCGGAUCGGACCAAAUUGGUAGCGGUCUCGGGGCGUGACAGUGUGUGUGCAUUGCGUUUCAGGACGCGAUGACACCACCAAGGAGAGUUACGACGUCCACACCGGCGGAGCCUCGGGAGGAGCUCGGGCAGUCGGGGUCGGACGACGUGCACGAGUUGCGAGCCCAAGUAGCGGCUUUGGCCGGGGCUAUGCGGCUUCAAGGGGAGCAGAUAGGGCGGCUCCACGAGAUGAUGGCGCAACAGGCAGCAGCGGCAUCAGUGCCAAGGGAUCCACCCCCACCGGCUGCUCCUGUAGCACCACCUCCUGCGGUGGCGGCAGCGCCAGUGACGACUAUUCCUCCGAUGGCAUCGAGUUCAUCGGCUCCUAUUUUCGAUGUACUUGAGGCCGAGCAGGAGCGCACGUUGGCGGCGCUGACAGCAUUUAAGCGAUUCAACCCUCCGACCUUCAACGGUGACGUGAAGGAUCCGUGGACGACGGAGAAUUGGCUAGCCGCGAUGGAGGCCUUGUUCGAGGAUAUCUACACCCUCGAGAAGGAUAAAGUUCAUUUGGCGGCUCAUUAUUUUGAUGGGUUGGCUCGGUUGUGGUGGAACCAAGCGAGGAAAAAUCGCUUGCUAGGGCACCCUUUUCUUACUUGGGAAGCAUUCCGGGAGAUGCUGCUGAUGGAGUAUUUCCCCGAAAGUGACAAAAGAAAAAUCAAGGAGGAUUUUCGAAAGCUGAGGCAAGGAAGCCGAUCCGUGCGGGAGUACGAGAGGGAGUUCACGCACAUGAUAAACUGUGUGCCAGACUUGGUCCAUGGAGAUAUGGACCGAGCGGAGGUAUUCGAGCGCGGGUUGCAACCCGAGAUUUUCAAGGUUAUUCAUGCAUUCCGCUUGAAGACCUAUGAGGAAGUGCUUGAUCGCGCGCUUUUGGUGGAGCGCGGGAAUGCCAUCGCGCGUGAUGAGCGCGAGAAUUUUGAGAGAGACAGGGAAAGAGAUAAGACCAAGAAGCGACCGGCUGGUGGAUCUGCGGGGCAAUCGAGUUCUAAGCGACCCCCGCGACCUCCACGAUCACAUUGGCGGGGAGGUAGGAGUCAGACCCAGAGCCGUGUCGCCUACCCAUGUGUGAUCUGCGGUGAAGACCACCGGGUUACNNNNNNNNNNNNNNNNNNNNNNNNNNNNNNNNNNNNNNNNNNNNNNNNNNNNNNNNNNNNNNNNNNNNNNNNNNNNNNNNNNNNNNNNNNNNNNNNNNNNNNGGUGAAGACUACCGGGUUACCUCUUGCCCACAGCGAGAGGGGCGAUGCUAUCGGUGUGGCCAGGCGGGCCACCUUGGCCGAGAGUGCCCGGGCGGCGUGUCCCCAACCCCGUCAUCAGCUUCGGCUCAAUACACUCAGCGACAGCUGGCGGGACUGCCACUCGCAACAUAUACUGGAUGAUCGUCGUUGCCUCGUCAGCCGGAGGCUUCUCGAGCACCUAGUGGGCGGGUUUUUGCCACUCAGGUGGAGGAGCAGCCGACCAUAGUUCCUGACGACGUGGUAGUAGGUAUUAUUCUGAUCAGAGGCACUAGAGCUAGAGCUAUAUUUGAUACAGGUGCAUCUCAUUCAUUCAUAUUAGCAUCAUUUGCACAAGCUCAUAAUACAGAGAUCACUCAUAAUGAGGAGUAUUGGUCGGUGAACACUCCCGAGCACUCGAUCGACGUCUACGAUGAGUGCUUGGACUGCCCAGUGCAAAUAGGCGAUUGGAUUAUGCAGAUCGACCUUCUAGUGUUGAAAGAAAUGUGGGGAUUCGAGGUAAUCUUGGGAAUCAAUUGGCUCUCCAAGUACUAUGCGGUUAUAGAUUGCGAAAGAAGGGUGAUCACGUUCCGUAAACCCAACCAAGAGGAGUUUGUCUAUCGGGGGUGUAAAGGCAAGCGCUUCGCAGCCACUAUAUCGACGGUGAGGGCGAAAAUGAUGAUCAAGGGUGGUUGUAAGGCCUACUUGGCGACCAUCGUAGACCCUCGACAGGAGUACCUGGAACUGGAGAGUAUUCGAGUUGUGCGGGAGUAUCCGGAUGUAUUCCCAGUGGAGUUACCGGGAUUGCCCCCGGAUCGAGAAGUCGAGUUUGUCAUUGACUUGAUUCGCGGGGCGGCGCCAAUUUCGAAGGCUCCGUACAGAAUGGCACCGGUGGAGCUAAAAGAGUUGAAAGCUCAAUUACAAGAUUUGCUCGAUAAAGGCUUCGUACGGCCGAGCGUGUCCCCGUGGGGAGCUCCGGUGCUAUUUGUAAAGAAGAAAGACAUCACACUCCAACUCUGCGUCGAUUAUCGCGAGUUGAAUAGAGUGACGAUCAAGAAUAAAUACCCAUUGCCAAGAAUUGAUGACCUGUUCGACCAGUUGCAAGGGUCAAGGGUGUAUUCAAUGAUUGAUCUGCAGUCGGGGUAUCAUCAACUGAAGAUACAACCCAAAGAUGUACACAAGACGGCGUACCGUACGCGGUAUGGCCACUAUGAGUUUACGGUUAUGCCAUUCGGGCUCACUAAUGCCCCGGCGGCAUUUAUGGACCUAAUGAAUCGGAUCUUCCGUCCGCUAUUAGACCGGUGCGUCGUGGUUUUCAUUGACGACGUAUUGGUAUAUUCUCGGACCGAAGAAGAACACGAGGAGCAUCUAAGACUCGUGUUGGAGACACUCCGGAAGGAAAAGCUUUACGCAAAAUUAAAGAAAUGCGAGUUUUGGCUUUCGGAGGUUACCUUCUUGGGCCACGUUGUAUCCGGAGAUGGCAUCUCGGUGGACCCAAAGAAAGUUGAGGCGAUUAAAGAUUGGCCUCGCCCGACAAGUGUAGCGGAAAUUCAUAGCUUCCUUGGACUUGCGGGCUAUUACCGGCGGUUCGUGGAGGGGUUCGCCAGGAUAACGACUCCACUAACGUGCCUUACGCACAAAGGGGUGAAGUAUGUUUGGAGCCCCGAGUGUAAGCGGAGCUUUGAGGAGCUAAAGAAUAGACUAAUAUCUACUCUGGUGCUUGCUUUACCGACGCCGAGAGAGAGUUAUGUCGUAUACAGUGAUGCUUCAUGUAUCGGUCUCGGGUGUGUGUCUUAAUGCAAAACGGCCGAGUCAUAGCUUAUGCUUCGCGCUAGUUGAAGAGUUAUGAAAAGAACUACCCGACUCACGAUCUUGAGCUAGCGGCGGUUGUUUUGACGCUAAAACUGUGGAGGCAUUACCUGUAUAGGGAACAUUGUGAGAUCUACACCGAUCAUAAGAGUCUCAAAUACUUGUUCACCCAGAAGGAGCUAAACUUGCGACAGCGGCGGUUGUUAGAGUUGCUCAAAGAUUAUGACGUCACGAUUCUCUACCACCCCGGGAAAGCGAACGUCGUGGCCGAUGCUCUAAGUAGAAAGUCGGCGGAAAAUUUGGCGACGGAGAUUACGCCUCAACCGGCAUUGCAAAAGGAGAUACAACGGUUUAGACUAGAAGUUGUGGCGCCGAGAGUGCUGGCAACACUUACCACUUUAGUUGUGCAACCAACCUUGAUGGAAAGAAUUAAAGGAUUGCAAACAUCGGAUGUAUUUCUCCAAAAGGUGCGGGGCAAAGUUGAGAGCGGUAGUGCCGAAGGUUUUGGCAUUGGAACCGACGGCGCACUACGAUAUCGGGAUCGUUGGUGUGUGCCCAAGGACGACGAUCUUCGGAAGGCGAUUAUGCAAGAAGCGCAUCAAUCUCCCUAUAGCAUUCACCCGGGCGGCACCAAAAUGUAUCGAGACUUGAAAUUACAUUAUUGGUGGCCGGGCAUGAAGAAAGACAUAGGGAAGUUCGUGGCGCAAUGUCUCACGUGCCAACAAGUGAAGGCGGAGCGUCGAUUUCCAGCAGGCAAAUUGCAGAGUCUACCUAUACCCGUGUGGAAAUGGGAAAAUAUUGCAAUGGACUUUGUGACAGGUCUGCCUAGGUCACAAGGUGGACACGACGCGAUAUCGGUAGUUGUGGACCGGUUGACAAAAUCGGCGCACUUUUUGUCGAUCCAUACUACUUGGUCGGGAGACAAGUUAGCUCAAGUUUUUAUCGACGAGGUGGUGAGACUCCACGAGGUUCCGGUAUCUAUUGUGUUGGAUCGGGACCCUAGGUUCACAUCUCAUUUUUGGAAGAGCUUGUAGAAGGCAUUAGGCACGCGGCUCGACUUUAGUACGGCCUUCCAUCCUCAAAGUGACGGUCAAUCGGAGAGGACAAUUCAAAUACUUGAGGACAUGCUUCGAGCAUGUGUGCUUGAUUAUAAGGGCGGAUGGCACGAUCACUUACCGAUGGCGGAAUUCGCAUAUAACAAUAGCUAUCAAGAAAGCAUUGCGAUGGCGCCAUUCGAGGCCCUGUACGGAAGGAAAUGUCCCUCGCCGAUACACUGGAGCGAUGUGGGUGAGAAAAUGGUUCUUGGCCCGGAUGUGGUGCGGGAGGCGGAAGAGAAAGUCCGCCUUACCCGAUAAAGAUUAGUGACGGCGCAAUCACGGCACAAGAGUUAUACCGACAAGCGGCGAAAGGAUAUUGAGUUCGCGGUAGGAGACCGCGUAUUUCUAAAGGUAUCGCUGAUGCGAGGAGUUGGGCGGUUCGGUGUACGCGGGAAGUUGAGUCCCCGCUAUAUCGGACCCUUCGAGAUUUUGGAACGAGUUGGUGCGGUGGCCUACAAGUUGGCAUUACCACCGAGGCUCGCAGGAGUACAUGAUGUAUUCAAUGCAUCCCAACUCCGCAAGUAUGUGUAUGACCCAGAUCAUAUUCUCUCGUAUAUACCGAUAGAACUCCAAGAGGAUGUGACUUAUGAGGAGUUCCCGGCUUAUAUCGUGGAUCGAGAAGUGAGAAAGCUCCGGAACCGCGAAAUCCCGUAUGUUAAAAGUUCAUUGGUGCGAACAUGAUGACCGAAAAGAAACGUGGGAGCUCGAAAACGAAAUGAGGGAGCGUCAUCCUCACCUCUUCGAGGAUCCGAAGUGAGGUAAGAAAUUUAAAUUUCAACCUUAGAAGUUUCGCGGACGAAACUAAAUUUAGGGGUGGAGAAUGUAACAUACCACGUCCCUCGUAAAUCGUGCCGAGUUCUGUCGAAACGAGCGGAACGCGAAGUUGAAUGAGUUAGAGUGGACCCUAAGAGCAUUAGAGACCAUAAGUGAAGCUAAAAGGGACCCGAGAGAGAGUAAAUCUGGAAAUCUGGCUAAGUCCCAGAUUUUGUGCUCUCGGGGACCGGUCCCUGAAGGAGAGACCGGUCCCCGUACGCGUAGCCUGCCAGGAAAUCCUGAGGCAUCCGGUCCCUUGUGGUGAGACCGGUCCUCGGGAGACCGGUCCCGGAAGGGCAGACCGGUCCCUCGCUGCGCAGCAGUUGAAAAACCCAAAAAUUUGGCUAAGUCCUGGAAAACCCACGUUCGGGAAUCGGUCCCUGGUCGGGGAGACCGGUCCCCAAAGGCGAAAAAUGCCCAGUCUGAGCAGAUCAAGAGGAAACAAGUGGAGGGGCUUAAAUGCAAUUGUCACAACACUUUAUAUGGGCCAUCCCUUCUCUCCCACAGCCAUUCCUCUCCUCCUCUCUCAUUUUCUCACUUUCUCUCUCUAGAACUCUCCUAGAGCUUGGAGAAGAAGAAGAAGAACUUGGAGAAGAAGGUGGAUUUGGUGCUUUGGAGGUUCUAGGAGCUCUCCAACAAGAAGAAUCUUGGUACAGCUUGGAUUAGAGGUAAGUUUUGUGAGGUUUUCCUCUAGGGUUUGGGUUUUGGUUUAGAAAAUUGGAGCUUUGUGCUCCUUAGAGGUUUUAGAGGCUCUUUUGAGCCAUGAAUGUCAUGGUACCCAUGAGAGCUCAAGGUGCUCUCAUGGUGAACCCUUGGAAGUUGGGUUAGGAGCCCUAGGGUUGGUCCCAAAGGUCUAGAAACCGUACUAAGAUGUUCCUUAGAUGAUUCUAAGCUAUUAUUUGCUUAGGGUUGAGAUCGAUUCAUGGGGAAACCCUAAAUGACAAUAUUAGGGCUUGAAAAUUGGGGCUUUUGCCCUAGGAUUUUUCGGGGACAAAUUGACCCCGUAGAAACCUAAUUGGGGGUCAAAUAAACACGUUGGACAACUUCGUUUGAGGAAACGAAAAUAUUUAAGAAUAGUUCAUGUAUAUAAGGGCCUAAUUAGGCACCCUUUUUGGAUUGUAGGACGCAGAUCGUCGUUCGUAGCGUUCGGGAGUUUCGUAUUCUCACCCACACGAUUACUAGAGGUGGGGGGUGCACGCCGAAAUCGCUGGAUUCCCUUCUAUGUCUAUUUCUCUAUUCUUGAGCAUAUGGUUAUUCAUUCCGUCAUGCAUAUUAAGGUUAAUUCACAUGUGAACUUUGGUUGUUUUCAUUAUGUUUAUUCCAAGUGUAUUUGAAAGUAGAGAGAAAUGGGACCAUGAUGGACAUGUGUUAUUGAACCCUAGGAAUUGCAUGAUAGCGGGACUUGGACUUAGCACAAGUAAACAAAUGGUGACAAUGACAUUAGAGAGAUAGAUUAGCUUGGAUAAAUGGAUGUUAAACAUAGAUUUAACUAUAGUGGCAUUGUGACGAGAUCGACUAGAAAGUGGCAUGAGAACAUAGGUAGAAAACCUAUCACAAAAGUGGCAUCAUGACAAGUGGCUUAAUAUCCUCAACGCGGGGAUUUGAUCGACACUCAUAAUAAGUCUUGGCUUGAGGGAGGUUGCUCCUCCUCAUGCGGUGUGUUUCCAGAAAUCGACACCACAGGGAGCGAGAUCCCUGAAGACGGUCCCUCGGGUCAGUAGUGCCUGGAGCCUCCCCGGUAAAGAAAGGGAUUCUGGGUUAUGAGUUUUUGGGGUUAACAAGGUUAACCGGUAAGAUUGGGUAAGAGCCGAAACUUAUUUACGAAUUGAGCAUGCAUGCAUUUUCCGUUAUUGCAUUGAGUAUUUGUAUCCACUGACAUUCUUUUGCAGGCAUAGUAUUAGAUGCAUUAGUACUGGUUACUUUUCUUUCCUUGAAAUACUUAUGCCUGGAUAGACCUAAUGGGUAAGUCAGCGAGGUCGGAUGCCGAACCCACUGGGAACUUCGUUGUAGUUCUCACACCACUAACCUUACAGGUCCUAGCACGAGCGGGGCGGCGGCGGACCGAGGCAAGGGUAUAGCGCCGUAGAUAGCGGCCACCGGAACUUUAUGUAUUUUGUAGCCAUUUCCCUUUUGGUAUACAUGAUCAACUUCUUUUGUUGAUUUAGAGAUGUAAAGUUGUAAACGAUCAUGUAAUUUUGGUGGAUGGCUAAAUGUAAAAAGAAAUGAUGGUUGAGUGGAAAUGUAAUAGUUUUAAUCACUUGUAUUUGAUUUAAAUUUAAUCAAAUAUCAUGUAUGUUGUAUAUUUAGCUUAGAGCUUUCGCUUCCGUUGUUGCUUGCCCUCGUGCAAGCCUUGUAAUAUAUAUAUAUAUAUAUUAUAUAUAAUAUUAUAUAUAUAUAUAAUAUAUAUAUAUAUAUAUAUAUGCAAAUCUCUUGUUGAUUGCCUAUUUAUACAUGUUGUUGGAGCCUUGGACGACAGAGGAGGCUCUAUCGGUUCGCGCGUCUGUUGACGUGACCCGAACCGACCAAAUUGGGGGGAUUGGGGCGUGACAGCGGUCCCGAGGCGUGGUAGAUAAUAUGGUAUCAGAGCGAGUUAAGAGCAAGCAAAGAGAGAGUCUAGGAUUGAUCUAGGAGACCUAGGACGGUGAACCUAAGGCUAUAGGUGCAUGAGUGCAACGUGAACCUUUACGGGUGGCGGAAGUCGAUCGAUUGGGUCGAAGUUGAUUGUAUGUCUCUAGUUGUGGCUAGAGAUGGAUUCAAGUGGUAUAAGUUCUUGACUUAAAGUGGUUGUGUUGGGCGGCCGACAACACGAUGCUAAGGGUUUAGAACAAGUACACUUGUGUGCUUCCGCCUGAUUUGCGAUGUUGAGUCACAUUGUUUCGCUAUUGUGGCGAAGUUAACGGGUUAAGGCCAAGUUGUUGUGUUUCAGGAGCUAAUGGCACCAAUGAGACACUACAUGCGUAGAUCCGUUCCGGCACAGCCUACUGAGGUGCCAGAACAAGCUGGGUCAAGUGAGGUGCAAGAACUGCGGGCGCAGAUAACUGCACUAGUUAGCGUGGUUCAACACCAAGGGAGUCUGAUCGAGCGGCUCCAGGAGCCUAAAUGCAAAAGUGACAUGAGUGGACAAUGUAUGAGGGGUUAUAGGACAUUUCCUCUCAUUUCUCACCCUCUCACACACUCUCCUCUCUCUUUCUCUCUCUAGAAGGCAAGGAGAAGAAGAAAGAAAGGAAAAGAAGGAGAAAGAAGAAGAAGUAAAAGGUGGAGAAGAAGAAGGAGUGAAGCAACUCCCUCUCCUUCACCAUUAGCACAAGAGAAGGGAAAGCUUUGAGGUAAGCUUUGCCUCCUCUCAUGGUAGAACCCAAAGUAGGGUUUUGAUAGAGCUAAGAAUGGUGUUAGUAGAAUCUCUUGAGUAUUUGAAGCUUUAUUUUGCUUCCUAAUGAGAUCAAAACCUAGGGUUUUGAUAUAUAUUGAAGCUAGGGCACCCAAAUUGGAGCUUUUGCUUGUGAGGAUUUCAAAGCUAAAUUGACCCUCUAGAAACCUAAUUGGGGGUAUUUCCGACGCGUUGGUGCGCUUGGUUUAACAUUACGAAAAGCCUAUGCGAAGUUAUAAGCAAAAAGGCCUAAUUUGGCUUCAUUUUGCCGCUGGUAGCGAACUAGGCGGCUAAAAAUCUCGAGAAAAUCACCUUAGCACCCUAGCAAACCUACGAGGUGGGUGGUGCUUUCCAAACUUGUUGAAAUUCCUUUUAUGUCUAAUGUGUCACUUUCUUGAGCAUGUGAGCAAAUGUUUGUGCAUGCAUUGUGGGGUAAAUGAGAUGAUAGUCAUGUGAAGUGCAUGUUGUGAGUACAAUUUGCAUAAUGAGAUGGUUGAGAACCAAAAAGAAUGUAUUAACCCUAUAUGUGCAUGUAAAGAGACAAGAAUUGAGAAUAGUUAAAGAACAAGUGACAUGUGACAUGAGGACAAUGUAAUAUUAAGAACAAAAACUAAAGUUAGCAUCAAAUGUGUGGCAUCAAAGAACAAAAGCUAGAGUUAGCAUCAAACGUGUGGCAUCAAAGAACAAAAGCUAGAGUUAGCAACAAUUGUGGCCUAAAGAACACUAGAGUUAGUGUAAGGACAUGAUCGAGAACAAAGAAUGCAAAGAACUUGAGAUUGAGACACAAUGACAUGCAACUUUAGAGCUAAGGGUCAUUUGUGCAUAAUUUUCUUAGAGUUAAGGAACGGAUUGAACUGAACAUCCUUUGAGUUAAGGAUAUGAUCGUACUCACUAUAAGUCCUUGCUCGAGGGUGGUUGCUCCCCCUUGGGUGACGCGCUCCGGAGUUUGUCAUCACUGGGUUGGUGUUGUUCCCCAGAGAACAGUCCCAACGGGAGGAAGCUGAGGGCCCGUUAAAUGGGAUUUUGAGUGGGUGAGUUAAUGAGGCGAAACCCCCGGGUUAGCCGUAAGAUUGAACGAAAGAGAUUGAACAAAAGAUUAAAGAACUUGCAUUCUACAUGAGUUUUAUAUUGAGCAUCUUUAUUGAUAGCAUUGUUCAGGCAUAUUAGCUGCAUAUGUAUAGUUGGUUACUCAUCUUAUUCUUUCUAUUAUGCCUGAGUUAGACCUAGUGGGAAAGUCGGUGUGAUUGGGGCCAAACCCACUGGGAACUUCGUUGGAGUUCUCACCCCACUAUUUUCACAGAGCCAGGACCGAGCGAGCCGGCAAGCGACCGUGGUAAAGGUAUCGCGCCGUAGACAGUGCCUACCAAAGUCGGGUUUUAUACUUUUACUAGUAGCGUACCCUUAUAUCAUCUUUUGUAUACGAUGAUUUGAGAUGUUAAAGGAAAGAAUGUAAUGUGUUGUUAUGAGCAAAUGUGAUGUAAAAAGAAAUGAUGAAAAGCAAUGUAAAGAAUCAUGAAUGUAAAUGGUUUAAAGUAAAUCAUUCUACGUGUAUGUUGUUAGUUUCCUUUCUUUCACUCAUGGCUAUUGCUUACCCUCGUGUAAGCUGUAUUUGUAUGUUUCCGCUAGUGCUUUCCUCUAUUGAUGAAAAUGUACAUGUGAUGAGCCUUGGGCGGACAGGAAAAACUCUGUCCGUUCGGCGUCUGUUCGACGUGCCCGGACCGGCCCAAAUUGGUAUCAGUCCCGGGGCGUGACAAAAUGUUCAGCAAUAUCCUCAUUUGCAUUGAUUAUAUUACAUAUAUAGAUAUCUUGAUAAGUGGGACUUCUGUAAUAUCCUAGGCCUCUGGUAUUACUAGAUUUGCUAUUUGGGAGUAUGGAUCUUCUUUGUGGUGGAUUCCACAUUCGUUGAAAGAAUUUGUGAUUGGCCCAAGAUCUCCUUGUUGGGCAACCUAACUUGCGUAUCAUCUUUUUCAAGCUAGUUGAAAAAUAAUUUGGGAUUUCUAUAUCCUCAAAUAUAUCAUCAUCAUAAUCCUCUGGUCUGAUGAUAUCAGUGGAUUUUUGAUCGUCUGAUUUAUAAAAAAGGAUUCCUCUUUUUACUGUCUUCCUUCCUUCAACAUCUUCUAUCUUUGGUAGGACAAAGAAAGUUUUUAAAUGAUUUACAACAAAAACCUGUCUUGCAGGAAUAAGUUUGUGGCAUUUUUCAGGAACCUUGAGAAUUGCCAAUGUAUUUUCCACCAGGUCAGAGGCUUUUGCAAUCAUUCUAUCAGCCCUGACAUAAGCUGUAAAGUGAUGUUCGUCUUCUGACGAGUUUUCGACUUCGAGAGUAUUCCAAUUGCUUGAAAGAAGCUUCAUAGCCCAACAUAAUUCAUCUUCAUCGAGAUCGGAGCUAUCCGAGUCACUUCCGAAAUGCGGCACUGUUGACUCCCUCUUGAUUUCGUCUACAAGUCUCUUCUCUUUAGAGGAUUGUUCUCUCGAUAUGCUACAAUUUUCUUCUGUAUCUUCUGAUUCUAUAAAAUAUCUUGCAUCUUCAUAUUGAAUUUCGUGAACUCCAAAUGGCCGAAUAUCACCAUCAAUUCUAUAUUCCUCCCCAUCUUUUAUAUAUUUCAAGCAUUGAUGAAGGGUAGACGGAACUAUGUGAUAUUUAUGCAACCAAGGCCUUCCUAACAAUGCCUUAUAGGAAGUAUCUGCAUUGAUAACAUAAAAUUUUGCCUCAGUUUGCAACUUCCCAAACCUUAUCGGGAGGGUAAUAGACCCGAGGGCCUUUUGAUUGUGUUAGUUGAACUCUUGAAUUACGACUUUUUCUAAGUUUAAAUAGCUGACAUCCAUUGCCAGACUUUUUAGGGUUCUUAAAGUCAUUAAGUUCACAGAAGAUCCAAGGUCAAUUAAAAUACGGUUCAUCUUUUCUCCGUCACUUGUGCCGGUCACAUAUAACGGUUGAUUAUGAUGCGUUGUCCCCAUUAAUAAAUCCUUUUCUGUAAAGGUGAUAUUGGCGGUGUGGAUGAGGUAUAACGCCUCCUUCAUGCUUGUCUCGGCAAAGUAUGCGUGAAUGGGCUCAGGAUUUUGGAGAGCAUAGAUCAACACUUCUCUGAGUUCUUUGGACAUUAUGAGGGCGUUAUAAACACUCAGAAGUGCUAGUACUUUUCAUAGAUGAAAGAGUACAUUAUAUUCUAUUCUUGUCAGCUUUGCUUGAUUUGAAGAAGUUGGAAGUUCUUUGCUGACUUGAACUUCUCUAUCUCUUUCCUUUUGAACUGGUUCUUGCCUUUCUGGUAGCACUUUUCCAGGUCUUAAUUUUAUUUGUAGGGCAUCACCUUCAUCAUUCUCCGAAUCAGUAUUGAUGUCGACUGCCCUACAAGUCUCGUUUCGAGUUUUCUUUGAGCUCUCGCCUACUUGAGAGCGAAGCAUAUCUAUUAUUAUCCUUGUUUGAGAGUUCAUAUUUUUCACUGCAGUAGUAACACAGUCUAGAUUUAACUUUAAAGAAUGGACGUCUAGCUGCAACCUCUUUACGUCAUUCCCUACUUCCAAGAUACGAGUUUCUAUUAUUUUUAAUUCUUGAUUUUGGGAGGGAGGUUCGUAUACUAACCAUGCACUGUCACCUUCUUCGUUCACCACUGCUGGUUGUUUACUUUUUCGUCUCCGUUUGUUAACAGAUUCCUCAGAGUGAUCUUCAGAGAUAGUGAUUACUCUACAAGACUCUCUACUGAGAGUUUUCUUCUCCAGCUCUUUUAGAUGUUGGCAAUUUAUGUGAGUAUGGCCAUUAGCUCCGCAGAAGUUGCAGAUAAUAGGUUCAUCCUCAUCGUAUGGUAGGUAUGUUCUCGGGGAUCUUAUGCUCCUUGUGACUUGAUUCUUCUUGAAGCCUUUACUGGUCGAGGGUUGCAUUUGAUCUUUCUUUGCAUCUAGGUUAUGCCCCCACUCUUGAUGGUCCGGAGAAAAUCGGAGUCGCGCUUCCCUUUGCUCCCCUUUCCAAACUUUCUUUAUAACUUGGUCUUCAAUGAGUGGAGCUUUUCCUUUUCCUUUAUAAACUUGCACGUCUUGGUGCCGUGACUUUUCUGCUACUUUUUCAUCAUCGAUCUUGAUACUCGGAGGCUUUUUCUUUUUCUCCACAAUCCAGUCUUUCUUUUGAUUGUCAAUCGACUGGUGCCAGCUGGGGUUUAAAACUUGAGUGUUUUUACUCCUUCGAGAAAAUUGUUGUUUCUCUCUUCGAAUUGGUAGAUCUUGAUUUUUUAUGAUUCUCAAGUCUUGAGAAGAGACAUUCUCUGUUGUUUGCCCCUGACUGAUAUUGGGGGCUAUCAUUCUUUCAAUGCGUUCCAUCAUCUCUUGUAGACGAUUGUUUCUUGGUGGUGGUCGAACUCGUCGAGGGGCUGGGGCCAUCAAUCGCAACACCUGUUCAAUCCUUGCUUCAAGCCUGAUCACCAUCUUCGCUAUCUCUUUUUGUUCGACUCUUAUAUUAAAGAGCUCUUCGUUGACCGAGUCAAGUCUAUAGUUCGUGGCCCUUUGUGCAUAUGCAGUUGAACCUUGCUCCUCUUUUUUCUUUCUUUCUAAUUUUUGCCAAAAUUGUUUCUCGCUAUCACCUUCUUCAACACCAUCAUCGGCGUUGUCUUCUAAUGAAGAAGUGAAUUCGUCUUCACUGUCCACAUCAUAGGCUAAGAUGGUUCUGCAUGCUUCUUUGGAUACUUCUCACCAGAAGUCUUCCGCCUCCUCAUAAAUCUCCUUCUCUAUCUCUUCAAAUUCGUCUUUUAAAUUUAUAUAGACCUUCUUAUUGGGUGGAAGGGGAGGCUCAACAUAUUUUUUAAAUUUCACACCCUCAUCAAUCUUUCGUAUUGGGACGAUCGUGCCUUCCGUUGCUCCGACUACGAAGUCUUUGAUUAAAACUGCGUCCCUCUCUUUCUGUAUGUAGUCUUCUAGGGAGUCAAUAUACUCUUCAAGCUCCGUCUUCUUAGACUCAUACGGCUCUGGCUCUACGGGCCUUUUAAUCUUCUUUUUCUUGAUCACUUUUCGAUUAGAUAGAGUAGGAGGAUUGUAUGGUUUGGAAGAUGAUGAAGGCUGAUCCUCAAGUGGCAUUGGCUGCACUCUUGGAUUCAGCGGGCCUCGCCAUGUAAUUCCUAGAGUUUCUUUCAACUGUUUGAGCAUUUUUCGAGUCUUCUUAGUCAGAAAGGUGUUCCAAAACUCAGAAGGAAAAGAGUUAUCGAACCCUACUGGUUCUUCGGUCCCCACACUAAUUGCAUUGGUUUCUUCCACUUGUGGAUCCAUGAUGACAGAACGUGAGAGAGUGUAAUAGCACCAGUUUUAUAUUGCUUCUCAACCCAAUCUUUAAACACCGAGCAAUCUUCAAUAGGAUGACUGACCAUUCUGUGAUAGAGACAAUAAUUUGUGUCAUCGGUUUUGCCAACAUCUUCUGGCCUCUUUGGCUUCGGUAGCUGCAGGCCGCUUUUAAUAGCAUCAUUGAAUAUUUUCUUCACUUUGUCUCUUUUAAAGGAGUAGACUUUAUUCUUUCUCUCCUCUAUGGUCAUUCUAUAGUUAUCUCCGCCUAGCGUUGGUUUGGAUGUCGGCCCAACUGAAGCAGUGGACCUUUUUUCUUUUUCUACAUUAUUGGCAUAGGCUAUUCUUGAACGGACGAUUUUGGUCUCGGCUUUCUUUCCAUCUUCCCUUCGAGGUCUAGAAGGAUGGAAACCCGGCGAAAUUUGUGGAUCAGUUUUUUCUAGCUUUGAGACGUUCAGUAUGAGAUCCUGAAACGUAGUACAACUGGUGGUGCAAAGGAACGGGGCCAUCCAGUUGUCUAUGUUCCCCUUAAGCAACUCUACCGCUUGAGAUUGCUCUAGGGUUGUAUCACACUUUAUACUCAAAUUUCACCAUCGAGUUAUGUAGUCUAACAUUGACUUAUGUUUCUUUCUUUUAGUCGCUGCCAGAUCGGCUAUUGAAAUUUUAUCACUGACUGCAGCGAAUUUUGCUCAAAAACAUUCUCCAUUUCACUCCAAGUUUUGAUUGAAUCAUCUUCGAGAGAAUAAUACUAGUCAAAAGCUAUCCCGAUCAAGCUCUGAGGGAACUGACAUAACAAUAAUGCAUUGUUGCCCCCAGUGUUACCACACGUGGCUUUGAAAUGUGCCAAAUGUUGGUCCGGGUUGCCUACCCCAUUAAAUUGUUUGAAUUUAGAAAUGACAUACCCUAAAGGGAAGAGUAUAUCAUCAUAUUCUACAGGGUAUGGGUACCCCCUUCCUUUCUGUUUGGGUAUCGACCCUGCCAUUAACUCUUUCAGUUGAAGAGCAAUGUGUUCUGAUAUUUCAUCUCUGGUCAUAUCAUGAGUAUCUUUCUGGAUGCGAGGUGUUGUAGCCAACUGAUUUGUCCGAUUUUCUUCGGUUGACGGUAUGGACAAGUUCAAGGUCGGUGGUAUAACUUGAACUUUAGGAUUGCGUAAUUGCACUCCCAUGUGCGUUUGCAUGUUGCUGAACAUUUCCAAGACUUCGUCUAACUUGCUAUGCAGAUUUGAUAUGUCCUUGUCCUUUUCCUCCAGCUUCUUUCUCAUUGAAUCAAUUAGGAGAUCUUUAGGAUCCCGGGGAAGAAAAGCGGGCUCCUUUUCAUUCUCCUCUACAUUAAACAGGUCAAGAGGUAAGUUAGUAUUGGGGUGUUGAGGUAAUUCCGUGUUGGGAUGUUCUCCUAUCCCUUGAGAGGAACCAUCUCUUCUUGUUUUAGGGGCCUUCUUCCCUCUGCGCAGGAGGGCGGCUUUCGUAGCUAUCUCUCUCAGCGUCGGCUUGCCAUCAUCAUUAUCUUCUUCUACGUGAUUGACCAUCCUUACCGUAUGGAUAGUCAACCUUCUGGAGCUCCCUUUUUGUUUCACCGGAUUAUUAGAUGACACGAUAGAGUUCUUCACUCUCCAUUGCUUAGUAAUUUUCUUAUUCGGCUGCAAUGGUUGCUUCCGCCCCCUAAUUGCAGAUGUAUUUUCCUCAUUGCAACACCUUUUAACCUCUUUCAAGGCCUUAUAGAUGCGUUGAGAUAUAGUUGUCUCUUUAUGUUUUGGCGAGACCUUGUUGACAGGCCGUUGGUGGCUCGCCUCAUUGAUAGGUCAUAGGUGACCCAUUUCCCUCUCAGGACGGAGGACCGCAAUGGGUGAAUUCUUUUUGAAAAACUUGAGCCGGGCAAACUUGUUAUGCAUGAGGCUUGCUAGUUGGACUACCACCUGACCGGCGGUGGUGCUUUUGUUCCAUUGUUUUCCCUCACUUGUCUUCUCUUUAAAGAACGUUGAGCGUUUCUUUUAAAAGAUUUUGAUUUUGGAUGAAGUGCCAUCUCGGCCACUUCACCCGUAGAGGUUGUCAAUCUAUUGAAAACUGAUUUUCUUGGAGCCUCCGGAUCAAUGGUUUCAGAAUUGACAGGGGCCAAUCUUUUAAAGACAGAUGUCCUUGCAAGCUGGCCAUCAGAAAAUUUGAGUCGACCCUCCAUCACCAUUCUUGUUGCAGCAGAGGGAACACUAGUCGCUCCUUGGCAGGCCGGCGAGGUGGAUUCGGGAUGAUGACGUUUGGGCGCCUCCCACGUGAUGGAAGACGUGAAAUCGCACGGCUGUUGGGAGCCAAAAUAGUUUUGUCCUUGGAGUACGUCGAAGUCCUGCCCCCACCAAUUUGAGUGACUAGCUGGGGAAUGACAAUAGCCAGAAUGUCCUCAGUGAUGGUGCCAAACUGGAUGGUGACACCGGCAGCCUCUAUCUUCAUCAUAGAAGCGGGAAAGCGGAUGUGUGCUGCAUUGACCGUGUUGUUGCUUGAUGCCAUUGCUCUACAUAUAUAAGACAACAGACGUUAGUCACAUAUAAAUAUAUUCUGGCCUUUUAUCAGCAUUUAUUAAUUAGGUCUCAAAGAUGGAGGGUGAAGCCAUGUCCCACUGGUUAAUUAGGUCUCAAAGAUGGAGGGUGAAGCCAUAUCCCACCGGGCGUGCCAUUUUGUCUGCCGCAAACGAACCGGCCUCGCCGUAGGUGUUUCUAGGGCGAGUGGUCAUUCAAAGUAGAGUUUAAAUUUGUUUAAAUUUUAUUUUGAGAUCAGGAUUAUAGGUUCAUGGCUUCUAUAAUAUAUCACAUCCCUCGUGAAACGUGUCGAGUUCCGUCGAAAUGUGCGGAAUGCGCAGUCGAACAAGUUUGUAUGGGCCCCUAGUGCUUUGGAGCCCAUAUAUAGUGCGAAGGGACCCGAGAGAGUGAAAUUCUAAAAUCUGGCUAAGUGCCAGAUUUUGUGCUCUCGGGGACCGGUCCCUGAAGGAGAGACCGGUCCCCGUGCGUGUAGCCUGCCAAGAAUCCUGAGGCAACCGGUCCCUGGCAGUGAGACCGAUCCUCGGGAGACCGGUUCCUAGAGGAGAGACCGGUCCCUCACUACGCAGCCAGCCAAAAACUUGGAAAUUUGGCUAAGUCCUGGAAACCCAACGUUCGGGAACCGGUCCCUGGUCGAGGAGACCGGUCCCCGACUGCGAAAAUUGCCCAGCAAGGGCUGAAACAGAAUUUUGAAAUUAGAAGGGCCUAGUUGCAAAUGUUACAACAUGUUAUAUGCCCUAGCUCUCUCCCACAGCUCUUUCUCACCUCUCUCUCAUUUUCUCUCUUCUCUCUCUCUAGAACUCUAGGAUUUGGUGGAAGAGAAGGAGAAGAAGCAAGGAGAAGUGGAUUUUUGGUGGGUUUGGUGGGUCUAGGAGCUUUCCAACAAAGAGGAGCUUGGUGGAACUUGGGCUAAGGUGAGUUUCUAGCAUGUAGAACUCUAGGGUUUGGUUUUAAACCUUGGGAUUUAGAGUUUUGAUCCUCUAAUUAACCUAGAAACCCUCUAUUGACCUUGAAACCAUGAAAUCCAUGGUUUUCUUAGGGAGAUCUCAUGGUGGAUCACUAGGGCUCAUGGUAGAUGCCCUAGGGAUGGUUCCAAGGGCCUAGAAAUCUUAGUAGAAUGCUUCUUAGAUGAUUCUAAGCUAUUAUUUGCUUAGGGAUGAGAUCAAUCUAGGAGCUAUCUCAUUAGGGCAUUGUUAGGGUUCAAAUUUAGGGUUUUUGCCCUAGGAUUUUUUGGGGACGAAUUGACCCCGUAGAAACCCAAUUGGGGGUGCCCUCGGCGCAUUGGACAACUCCAUUCGAUGUUACGAAAAUGUUUGAGUAUAGUUCAUGUACAAAAGGCCUAAUAUGGCACUAUUUUGGUUAUAGGGUGCGAAAUCGGCUUUUGUAAAGUUCGGGAGUCGUCACAUUCUACACCUACACGACUACGCGAGGUCGGGGGUGCACGCCGGAAUCGUUGGAUUCCCUACUAUGUCUAUUUCACUUUUGUUGAGAAUAAUAUUAUAUAGCACCGUUCAUGCAUAGUAGGGUUAAUUUACAUGUGAACUUUGGUUGUUUCCACUAUGUAUUUAUCUUAAUGUAUUUGAAUAUAGAGAGCCAUGGAACCAUGAUGGACAUGUAGUGUUGAACCCUAGAGAUUGCAUGAUUGUGAGACUUGGACUUGACAAUAGAAAACAAAGGUGACCUUGACAAUAGAGACAAGAUUGGCAUUGACAAGAAUGAUUAGAAAGUGACAUGAACAAAUAGGUAGCAAACCUAUCAUAAAAGUGGCAUUGUGACUAGUGGCUAAGUAUUCUCAAGUUGGGGAUUCGAUCGAUACUCAUGAUAAGUGUUGGCUUGAGGGAGGUAGCUCACCCUCAAGUGGUGAGUUUCCGUAAAUAGUCACCUAGGGGAGCGAGGUCCCCGUAGACGGUCCCUCGGGUCGGUAGUGCUUGGAGCCUCCCCGGUAAAAAGGGAUUUAGGUUAUGAGUUAUUGGGGUUAACAAGGUUAACCGGUAAGAUUGGAUAUGAGCCAAAGCUUAUUUAUGAUUUGAGCAUGCAUGCAUUUCCAUUAUCGCAUUGAAUAUAUAUAUAUAUGACCUCCUUCUUGCAGGCAUAGUAUUAGUUGCAUUAGUAUUGGUUACUUUCUUUCCAUUGAAAUAUUUAUGCCUGGAUAGACCUAGUGGGUAAGUCGGCGAGGUCGGUUGCCGAACCCACUGGGAACUUCGUUGUAGUUCUCACACCACUAACCCUACAGGUCCUAGUGCGAGCGAGGUGGCAGAGGACCGAGGCAAGGGUUUAGCGCCGUAGAUAGCGGCCACCAGGACUUCUUUCAUUUUGUAGUCAUUCCAUUUUUGGUAUACAUGUAUCAACUUUAUUUUGUUGAACUAGAGCUCUAAUGUUGGAAACAAUCUUGUAUUUUGGUGGAAUGGCCAAAUGUAAAAGGAUAUGAUGGGUUAAUGAAAGAUGAAUGUAAUAGUUUUAGUAUACUUGUAUUUGGUUUAAAUUAAUCAAAUAUCUCGUAUGGUUGUAUGUUUUAGUUAGAGCUUUUGCUUUCGUUAUUGCUUGCCUUCGUGCAAGCCUUAUAUAAUUGCUAAUCUCAUUGUUUGAUUGCCUUAUUAUACUUGUUGUUAGAGCUUUGGGCGGACAGGAGAGGCUCUGUCCGUUCGGCAUCUGUGGACGUGACCCGAACCCAACCAAAUUGGCGUGGAUUAGGGCAUGACAGAUAUAAUGGUAUCAGAGCGAAGUUGAAAGCAAAAGUCUAGGAAUGACCUAGGAACUAUAGGUUUGGAGACCAUAGGGACUUAGAAAAACGUUUAACGUGAACUUGGCUUAUGCGAAAGCGAAUGAUUAGGUUGACGGUAACACUUCUCUAGAAGGAAGUAGAGAUGGAUUAGAAGGCUUAAUUGUUGUCUACUUAAGGGACUUUGUGGGGCGGCUGACCACAUGACACCGAGAGUAGAAAUGAUUAUGCUUGUUGCUUUCGCUUAAUUGGGUAGUUAUUUGGAACGUGUAAGAGUCACGUGUGUUGAGUACUAAUGCGUGUGAUGCGUUUCAGGAAUAAUGUCCCCGAGACGCUACACGCGUAGGGCCGCUUCGGCACUGCCUGAUGAAGUGCCCAAGCAAACGGGAUCGGAUGAAGUGCGCGAGCUACGAGCCCAAGUAGCGGCAUUGGCCGGGGCUAUGCAGCUACAAAAGGAGCAGAUUGGAUAGCUCCACGAGAUGGUGGCGCGACAGGCGGCAGUGGCAUCUGUGCCGAGGGAUCCGCCCGCACCUGCUGCUCCUGUAGCACCACCUCCUGCGGUGGCGGCAGCACCGGUGACGGCUAUUCCUCCGACGGUAUCGGGUUCAUUGGCUCCUAUUCCCGAUGUACUUGAGGCUGAGUAGGAGCGCACGUUGGCGGCGUUGACGGCAUUCAAGCGGUUCAACCCUCCGACCUUUAACGGCGAUGUGAAGGACCCGUGGGUGGCGGAAAGUUGGCUAGCCGCGAUGGAGGCCUUGUUCGAGGAUAUCUAUACCUUCGAGAAGGAUAAUGUUCACCUUGCGGCUCAUUGUUUCGAUGGGUCUGCACGGUUGUGGUGGACUCAGGCAAAGAAGAAUCAUUCGUUGGAGCACGCUUCUGUUACUUGGGAGAUGUUUCGAGAGAUGCUACUUAUGGAGUAUUUUCCCGAGAGCGACAAAAGGAAAAUCAAGGAGGAUUUUCGGAAGCUAAGGCAAGGAAGUCGCACGGUGUGAGAGUAUAAACGGGAGUUGAAACACCUCGUCAAUUGCGUGCCGAGCUUGGUUCAUGGCGAUAGGGACUGAGCAGAGGCAUUCGAGUGCAGGUUGCGACCCGAGAUUUUCGAGGUCAUACAUGCCUUCCGGUUGAAGACCUACGAGGAAGUGCUUGAUCGCGCGCUUUGGGUGGAGCGCGGCAAUGCCAUUGCGCGAGAUGAGCGCGAGGCUUUUGAGAAGGAUAGGAAGAAGGACAAGUCCAAGAAGCGGACGUCGAGUGGACCUGCGGGGCAGUCGAGUUCUAAGCGACCCCCACGACAACAGCGAUCGCAGUGGCGGGGAGGUAGGAGUCAGACUCAGAGCCAGACUACCUACCCGUGCGUGAUAUGUGGCGGAGACCACCGAGUUACUACUUGCCCACAGCGGGAGGGGCGGUGUUACCGAUGCGGCCAACCAGGACACUUAGGCCGAGAGUGCCGGGCGGCGCAUCCCCAGCUCCGUCAUCAGCUUCAGUUCAGUACACUCAGCGACAGCUGGCGGGACUGCCACCCGCCGUAUCUCCUGGACGAUCGUCAACACCUCGUCAGCGGAGGCCUCUCGAGCACCUAGUGGGCGGGUAUUUGCCACUAAGGUGGAGGAGCCGCCGAUUUUCGUUCCCGACGACGUCGUGGCAGGUAUUAUUCUUAUCAGAGGCACUAGAGCUAGAGCCAUAUUUGAUACAGGUGCAUCACAGUCAUUCAUAACAGCAUCAUUUGCACUAGCUCAUGACAUAGAGGUCACGCAUUAUGAGGAUUAUUGGACGGUGACAGCACCUGGACUUACGUUUCAUGUGCAUGACGAGUGUUUGGACUGCCCAGUGCAGAUAGGCGAUUGGAUCAUGCCGAUCGACCUAUUAGUGUUGAAGCAUCUGUGGGGCUUUGACAUAAUCUUGGGUACCAACUGGCUCUCCAAGUAUUACGCGGUUAUCGAUUGCGAAAGGAAGGUGAUCACUUUUCGUGAGCCUGACCAAGAGGAGAUGGUUUAUAAGACGGGUAAUGGUGCGCGUUUUGCGGCGACCAUAUCAUUGGUGAGGGCAAAGAAAAUGAUUAAGGGUGGUUGCAAGGCCUACUUGGCGACCAUCGUGGAUCCUCAAAAGGAGCACCCGGAAUUGGAAAGUAUUCGAGUGGUAUGCGAGUAUCCGGAUGUAUUUCCGGCGGAGUUACCGGGAUUGCCACCGAACCGGGAAGUCGAAUUUGUCAUUGACUUGAUUCCUAGGGCGGCGCUAGUUUCGAAGGCUCCAUAUAGAAUGGCACCGGUAGAGUUGAAGGAGCUAAAAGCCCAGUUGCAAGACUUGCUCGAUAAAGGCUUCGUGCGGCCGAGUGUGUCUCCAUAGGGAGCUCCGGUGCUAUUUGUGAAGAAGAAAGACAGCACUCUUCGACUUUGCGUUGAUUAUCGCGAGUUGAAUAAGAUGACGAUUAAAACUAAAUAUCCGUUGCCGAGAAUUGAUGACUUAUUCGACCAGUUGCAAGGGUCAAGGGUAUAUUCAAAAAUUGAUCUUCAAUCGGGGUAUCAUCAGUUGAAGAUACGGCCCAAAGACGUGCAUAAAACGGCGUACCGUGCGCGGUAUGGCCAUUAUGAGUUCACGGUGAUGCCGUUUGGGCUUACUAAUGCCCCGGCAGUAUUUAUGGACCUAAUGAAUCGAGUCUUCCGUCCGCUAUUGGACCGGUGCGUCGUGGUUUUCAUUGACGACGUAUUGGUAUAUUCUCGGACCGAAGAAGAACACGAGGAGCAUCUAAGGCUCGUGUUCGAGAUACUCCGGAAGGAAAAGCUUUAUGCAAGACUAAAGAAAUGUGAAUUUUGGCUUUCGGAAGUUAUCUUCUUGGGUCACGUUGUAUCCGGAAAUGGCAUCUCGGUGGACCCAAAGAAAGUUGAGGCGAUUAAAGAUUGGCCUCGCCCAACAAGUGUGGCGGAAAUUCGUAGCUUUUUGGGACUUGCGGGCUACUACCGGCGGUUUAUGGAGGGGUUUGCUAAGAUUACAACUCCACUAACGCGCCUUACGCACAAAGGGGUAAAGUAUGUUUGGAGCCUCGAGUGUGAGCGGAGCUUUGAGGAGCUAAAGAAUAGACUGACAUCUACUCUGGUGCUUGCUUUGCCAACGCCGGGAGAAAGUUAUGUCGUGUACAGUGAUGCUUCAUACAUCGGUCUUGGGUGUGUCUUAAUGCAAAAUGGCCUAGUCAUAGCUUAUGCUUCGCGCCAAUUGAAGAGUUAUGAAAAGAACUACCCGACUCACGAUCUCGAAUUAGCGGCGGUUAUCUUCACGCUAAAAUUGUGGAGGCAUUACUUGUAUGGGGAACAUUGUGAGAUCUACACCGAUCAUAAAAGUCUCAAAUACUUGUUCACCCAGAAAGAGUUAAAUUUGCAGCAGCGGCGGUGGUUAGAGUUGCUCAAAGAUUAUGAUGUCACGAUUCUCUACCACCCCGGAAAGGCAAACGUCGUGGCUGAUGCUUUAAGUAGGAAGUCAGCGAAAAAUUUGGCGACGGAAAUUACACCCCAACCGGCUUUGCAAAAGGAGAUGCAGCGGUUUGGUCUAGAAGUGGUGGCGCCGGGAGUACCGGCAACGCUUGCCACAUUGGUUGUGUAACCGACCUUGUUGGAGAAGAUUAAAGAAUUGCAAGCGUCGGAUGGUUUUCUCCAAAAGGUGAGUUGAGAGUGGUAGUGCCGAUGAGUCUGGCAUUGGGACCGACGGCGCACUACGAUAUCAGGAUCGUUGGUGCGUGCCCAAGGACGACAAUCUUCGGAGGGCGAUUAUGCAAGAAGCGCAUCAAUCUCCCUAUAGCAUUCACCCGGGCGGCACCAAAAUGUAUCGGGACCUGAAAUUACACUAUUGGUGGCCGGGCAUGAAGAAAGAUAUAGGAGAGUUCGUGGCGCAGUGUCUUACGUGCCAACAAGUAAAGGCAGAACGACGAUUCCUAGCGGAAAAGUUGCAAAGUCUGCCUAUACUCGUGUGGAAAUGGGAAAACAUCACAAUGGAUUUCGUGACGAGUUUUCCCAGAUCACAAGGUGGAUAUGACGCGAUUUGGGUAGUUAUGGACCAGUUGACAAGAUCGGCACACUUUUUGCCGAUCCACACUACUUGGUCGAGAGACAAGUUGGCUCAAGUCUAUCUCGAUGAGGUGGUGAGAUUUCACGGGGUUCCGGUAUCUAUAGUAUCGGAUCGGGACCCUAGGUUCACAUCUCAUUUUUGGAAGAGCUUGCAAGAUGCAUUGGGCACACGGCUCGACUUUAGUACAGCAUUCUAUCCUCAAAGUCACGAUCAAUCGGAGAGGACUAUUCAAAUACUUGAGGAUAUGCUUCGAGCGUGCGUACUUGACUACAAGGACGGAUGGCACGAUCACUUUCCAAUGGCGGAAUUCGCGUACAACAAUAGCUAUCAAGAAAGUAUUGCGAUGGCGCCAUUCGAGGCCCUUUACGGAAGGAAAUGUCGAUCGCCAAUACACUGGAGCGAUGUGGGCGAGAAGAUGAUUCCUGGCCCGGACGUGGUGCGGGAGGCGGAAGAAAAAGUUCGCCUUGCCCGACAAAGAUUAGCGACGGCGCAAUCAAGGCAUAAGAGUUAUGCGGACAAGCGGCGAAAGGAUAUUGAGUUCGCGGUUGGCGACCGUGUAUUCUUAAAAGUGUCGCCGAUGCGAGGAGUUAAGCGGUUCAGUGUUCGCGGGAAGCUAAGUCCUCGCUAUAUCGGACCCUUCGAGAUUUUGGAACCAGUUGGCGCGGUGGCCUAUUGGUUGGCAUUACCACCUAGGCUCGCGGGAGUACAUGAUGUAUUCCAUGUAUCCCAACUCCGCAAAUACGUUUACGAUCCGGAUCAUAUUCUCUCGUAUAUACCGAUAGAGCUUCAGGAGGAUAUGACCUACGAAGAGUUCCCGGCUCACAUCACAGAUCGGGAAAUGAGGAAACUACGGAACCGCGAAAUCCCGUAUGUUAAAAUUUAUUGGUGCGAACAUGAUGACCGUUAAGAAACGUGGGAGCUCGAAAGCGAAAUGAGGGAGCGUUAUCCUCACCUCUUCGAGGAUCUGAAGUGAGGUAUGAAAUCUAGAUUUCAAACUUAGUAGUUUCGCGGAUGAAACUAAAUUUUAGGGGUGGAGAAUGCAACAUAUCACAUCCCUCGUGUAACGUGCCGAGCUCCGUCGAAAUGUGCGGAAUGCGGAGUCGAACAAGUUUGUAUGGGCCCCUAGUGCUUUGGAGCCCAUAUAUAGUGCGAAGGGACCCGAGAGAGUGAAAUUCCAAAAUCUAGCUAAGUCUCAGAUUUUGUGCUCUCGGGGACCGGUCCCUGAAGGAGAGACUGGUCCCCGUGCGUGUAGCCUGCCAGGAAUCCCGAGGCAACCGGUCCCUUGUAGUGAGACCGGUUCUCGAGAGAUCGGUCCCUGGAGGAGAGACCAGUCCCUCACUACGCAGCCAGCCAAAAACCUAAAAAUUUGGCUAAGUCCUGGAAACCCAACGUUCGGGAACCGGUCCUUGGUCGGGGAGACCGGUCCCCGACUGCAAAAAUUGCCCAGCAAGGGCAGAAACAGAAUUUUGAAAUUGGAAGGGCCUAGUUGCAAAUGUUACAUCAUGUUAUAUGCCCUAGCUCUCUCUCCCACAACUCUUUCUCACCUCUCUCUCAUUUUCUCUCUUCUCUCUCUCCAGAACUCUAGGCUUUGGUGGAGGAGAAGGAGAAGAAGCAAGGAGAAGUGGAUUUUUGGUGGAGUUGGUGGGUCUAGGAGCUUUCCAACAAGGAGGAGCUUGGUGGAACUUGGGAUAAGGUGAGUUUCUAGCAUGUAGAACUCUAGGAUUUGGUUUUAAACCUUGGGAUUUAGAGUUUUGAUCCUCUAAUUAACCUAGAAACCCUCUGUUGACCUUGAAACCAUGAAAUCCAUAGUUUUCUUGGAGAGCUCUCAUGGUGGAUCACUAGGGCUCAUGGUAAAUGCCCUAGGGAUGGUUCCAAGGGCCUAGAAAUCUUAGUAGAAUGCUUCUUAGAUGAUUCUAAGCUAUUAUUUGCUUAGGAAUGAGAUCAAUUUAGGAGCUAUCUCAUUAGGGCAUUGUCAGGGCUCAAAUUUAGGGCUUUUGCCCUAGAAUUUUUCGGGGACGAAUUGACCCCGUAGAAACCCAAUUUGGGGUGCCCUCGGCGCGUUGGACAACUCCGUUCGACGUUACGAAAAUGUUUGAGUAUAGUUCAUGUACAAAAGGCCUAAUAUGACACUAUUUUGGUUAUAGGGCGCGAAAUCGGCUUUCGUAAAAUUCGGGAUUCAUCACAUUCUACACCUACACGACCAUGCGAGGUGGGGGGUGCACGCCGGAAUCGUUGGAUUCCCUAUUAUGCCUAUUUCACUUUUGUUGAGCAUAAUACUAUAUAGCACCAUUCAUGCAUAGUAGGGUUAAUUUACAUAUGAACUUUGGUUGUUUCCACUAUGUAUUUAUCUUAACGUAUUUGAAUAUAGAGAGCCAUGGAACCAUGAUGGACAUGUAGUGUUGAACCCUGGAGAUUGCAUGAUUGUGAGACUUAGACUUGACAAUAGAAAACAAAGGUGACCUUGACAAUAGAGACAAGAUUGGCAUUGACAAGAAUAACUAGAAAGUGACAUGAACAAAUAGGUAGAAAAUCUAUCAUAAAAGUGGCAUUGUCACUAGUGGCUAAGUAUCCUCAAGUUGGGGAUUCGAUCGAUACUCACGAUAAGUCUUGGCUUGAGGGUGGUAGCUCCCCCUCAAGCGGUGAGUUUCCGGAAAUAGUCACCUAGGGGAGCGAGGUCCCCGUAGAUGGUCCCUUGGGUCGGUAGUGCUUGGAGCCUCCCCGGUAAAAAGGGAUUUGGGUUAUGAGUUAUUGGGGUUAACAAGGUUAACCGGUAAGAUUGGGUAUGAGCGAAAGCUUAUUUAUGAUUUGAGCAUGCAUGCAUUUCCAUUAUCGCAUUGAAUAUAUAUAUAUAUCUGUUGACUUCUUUCUUGCAGGCAUAGUAUUAGUUGCAUUAGGAUUGGUUACUUUCUUUCCAUUGAAAUACUUAUGCCUGGAUAGACCUAGUGGGUAAGUCGGCGAGGUCGGUUGCCGAACCCACUGGGAACUUCGUUGUAGUUCUCACACCUCUAACCCUACAGGUCCUAGUGCGAGCGGGGUGGCGGAGGACCGAGGCAAGGGUUUAGCGCCGUAGAUAGCGGCCACCGAGACUUCUUUCAUUUUGUAGUCAUUCCAUUUUUAGUAUACAUGUAUCAACUUUAUUUUGUUGAACUAAAGCUCUAAUGUUGGAAACAAUCUUGUAUUUUGGUGGAAUGGCUAAAUGUAAAAAGAUAUGAUGGGUUAAUGAAAGAUGAAUGUAAUAGUUUUAGUAUACUUGUAUUUGGUUUAAAUUAAUCAAAUUUCUCGUAUGGUUGUAUGUUUUAGUUAGAGCUUUUGCUUCCGUUGUUGCUUGCCUUUGUGCAAGCCUUGUACAAUUGCUAAUCUCAUUGUUUGAUUGCUUUAUUAUACUUGUUGUUAGAGCCUUCGGCGGACAAGGGAGGCUCUGUCCGUUCGGCGUCUGUGGACGUGACCCGAACCCGACGAAAUUGGCGUGGAUUGGGGCGUGACAGCUUCCAACAUACUCAAGAAUCUACUGUUAAUUACCCCACACUUUCGGUGUUAAGGAACCCUCGAUUAAAAAACCAAAUAUAAAUGCUGAUAAUAAAAGAGACAAAACAGGCAAAUAAAAUUUUAUUAAUAUGAUUUGCCAUGUACAUGGCUUAAGCAGGGGCAUACCCCCACUAUGCAUAAAUUUUAUAAGAUUAGAUACUCAAUUUAGCGACUUGGUGGUCGAUUGAAGUUUUGAUGCUCAGUUUAAUGACAUGGCGGUCGGUUUAAGUUUGGUUUAACGACUUUACAGUCGUUUGGAUUGGAUUUAGUUUAACGACUUUACAGUCGUUUGGAUUGGAUUUAGUUUAACGACUUUACGGUUGUUUGAACUUGGGUUUAGUUUAACGACUUUUCGGUCGUUUGAAUUUGGGUUUAGUUUAACGACUUUUAGGUCGUUUGAAUUUGGGUUUAGUUUAACGACGUUUCGGUCGUUUGAAUUUGAGUUUAGUUUAACGACUUUUCGGUUGUUUGAAUUUGGGUUUAGUUUAGCGACGUUUCGGUCGUUUGAAUUUUGAUUUAGUUUAACGACGUUUCGGUCGUUUGAAUUUCGGUUUAGUUUAACGACGUUUCGGUCGUUUGAAUUUGGGUUUAGUUUACCGACUUUUCGGUUGAUUGAAUUUGGGUUUAGUUUAACGACUUUUUGGUCGUUUGAAUCUGGGUUUAGUUUAACGACGUUUCGGUCGUUUGAAUUUGGGUUUAGUUUAACGACAUUUCAGUCGUUUGAAUUUCGGUUUAGUGUAACGACUUUUCAGUCAUUUGAAUUUGGGUUUAGCAACUUUUCGGUCGAUUGAAAUCGAGAUGUUCAUGAAACUGAUUCAUGAAAUUAAUUCGUGCUAGGAGCCCAUUUGUAAAGUCCAUUAAAUUAAUUGAUGAAAUUAAUUCAUGAUAGGGACCAUUUGGAGAGUCCAUUGAAUUAGGUUUAUAAAAUUAAUUUAUGAUAAGGAGCCAUUUGGAAGGCCCGUUAGUUCAUGAAAUUAAUUUAUGAUAAGGAAGGCCCAUGAAAUUAAUUCAUAGAAUUAAUUCGUGAUAGGGGCCUAUUUGGCAGACCCAUGAAAUUAAUUUGUCGAAUUAAUUCAUGAUAAGGGGUCCAUUUGGAAAGCCCAAGAAAUUAAUUCAUAGAAUUAAUUCAUAAUAAGGGUCCCAUUUGGAAAGUCCAUAAAAUUAAUUCAUCAUAAGGAGGCCUAUUUUGCAAACCCAUGAAAUUAAUUCGUAGAAUUAAUUUAUGAUAAGAGGUCAUUUGGAAAGCCCAGAAAAUUAAUUCAUAGAAUUAAUUCAAAAUAAAGGGCCCAUUUGGAAAGCCCAUGAAUUCGGUUUGGGUUGGAGGUAUUUGGAUGACAUAGGUUUAGUAAAUAUGGUUGGGUUUUAUUUAUGGACUUUGGAUUUUGGAUCUUUGGGUUUUGGAUCUUUAUUUGUGGACUUUGGAUUUUGGAUCUUUAUUUGUGGAGUUUGGAUUUUUGGGAUUUUAUUUGUGGGCUUUGGAUUUUUGGUUGAGAAAUUUAUUCAUAUGGAUUUUUAUUGGUUUUGGAUCUAAAUCUGCAUGUGGGUUGAGAUUAGUUUCGAGCUUUACAUUUUCUGGACCUUGGACCCGAGUCUGCAUAUGGACUUGGAUUGGUUUUGGACUUUACAUGUUUUGGGCCUUGGACUCAAAUCUGCAGAUGGAUUGAGAUAAAUCUUGGAUUUUAUAUGUUCUGGGUCCAACUCUGCAUGUGGGCUGAGACGGGUUUCGGGCUUUAAUAUUCUGGGCCCGAAUCUGUAUGUGGGCUGGAUUUUUUAUUGAUUUUGAAUCCAAAUCUGCAUAUGGACUGGAUUUCGGGCUCUACAGGUUGUGGACCCGAAUUUGCAUGUGGGCUUGGUGCCUCUUUUUUUAAAAAAAAGUUUAUUCAUUGAGCCCAUAAAUAAAUAGCUCAAAUUUAUUUCAUCAACAUUUUUUUUUUGUUCUUUCUUAUUUUUUUAACUGAGAGAAGGAACAACUUUUUUUUUCUUUUCUUUUUUGUAUUUUUUUCUUUUCUUUUCUUUUCUUUUCUUUUCUUUUUUUGUGUUGACUGUCAGAGAGAGAGAGAGAGAUCCGACUCCCUCUCUCUUUGUCUCUGUGUGUACGAAAUUGAGAAAGAGAGAGAGAGGGAGGGGGUGCCUCUUCUUUUUUUUUUAUUGUUUCUUUUCUUUUCUUUUCUUUUCUUUUUUUUUGUUGGUUCUUCUUUUUUCUUUUUUUCUUUUUUUUUUGACUGCCAAAUCCCUCUCUCUCUGUAUGAAACCGAGAGAGAGAGAGGGGUUGCCCUCUAUUACCUUUUUUUUUUUCUUUUCUCUCUCUUUUUUUUUGUUUGUUCUUUUUUUUUUUCUUUGUUGGUUUGACUGCCAGAGAGAGGGUUGGAAACCCAACUCUCUUUCUCUCUCUGUACGAACCGAGAGAGAGAAAAAGGGAGGGGUGUCCUCCUUUUCUCUUUUUUUAAAUUUUUUUUUUGUCCAAAUAUAAGAAAUUUCGUCUCUUUUUUUUUUAAGAAAUAUAUACGAAAUUGGUCACGUCGAGCAAUACAAUCGAAUCGAACGAAGAUGAUGACUCAAAACAGAACCCGUCCAUUUUUUUAUUAUCAUUCUUAUUGUUAUAUUUUUUUUGUCGCGUUUUGUUCAAGUACGCGGAGUUUAAUCGUGUCGAGCCUAUCACGAAGAUGGCCGCUCGAUUAAUUCUUUUGACCAUGUCGAGCCUAUCGCGAAGAUGGCCGCACGGUUUACGUAUCGAAAUAAACAGAGCUCGAUCACCUAUUUUGACCAUGUCGAGCCUAUUGCGAAGAUAGCCGCACGGUUUAUGUAGUAAAAUAUCCGGUUCGAUCAAUCAUUUUGACCAUGUCGAGCCUAUCACGAAGAUUGCCACACGGUUUAGAGAUUAGCAAUGCAUACGACGGAAGUGACGAUUUAAUGUCAAAUUUGAUCGGUUCGAAACCGAUCACGAAGAUGGUCGGGUUGAUCAAAUUGACAAAAAAGAACGCACGGUUUAGAGAUUAGCGAUGCAUACGCGCGACGGAAGCAACGAUUUAAUAUCAAAUUUGAUCGGUUCGAAACCUAUCACGAAGAUGGUCGGGUUGAUCAAAUUCACAAAAAAACGCACUUACGCUAUGCAUAUGCAUGCGUAUCUCCUAUCGUUAUAGAAGUCGUUGUGAUUGUCGUUAUCGAAGUCGUAGCUGAAUUCAAGAGCCAAAGUCCUUUUUUUCUUUUGCUGCGGUACGGACAAGGAAGGGGGGGUGCACAUGGCACCCCCUCUGCCAGCAAGACCAAAAAGGGGGGCUCCCCCCUUGGUAUAUGUACACGAGAGAGAGAGAGAAAGAGAGAGAGUAUAUAAACUCUCUUCUUUUUUUUUUACCUUUUUUUUUCCUUCUUUCUUCCUCUUCUUUCUGUUCUUCUCUUUUUUUUCUUCUCUUUUCGGUUCUUCUCUCUCUCUUUUUUUUAUUUUUCAGAGGCCUCCUUAUAUUAAGCCUCUAAUGGCUUAUACUUUUUUUUUAGAAACUAUUCAAAAAAAGAAUUUGAAAAGGAAUGGUACCUUGAUUAAGAUAUGAAAUUUUUUUUCUUUUUUUUUUAGUAUCUUUUCUUUCCUUCCUUUUUUUUGAAAUAGGAAGUGGGAUUUUUUUUUUUUUUCAAAUUUUACAUCUUUCCCCCUUUUCUUCUUCCUCUCUUUUUUUUAUUUUUUUUUAACUCAAACACGAGGAUAGGCUCGAGGUAGGGAUAGCAAUGGUGGACGGUCACGCCCCCGACCGCACGACCCGAAAACGGUACCUAUUUGGUCCGGUUCGAGGGCGGCGGGCAUGAGGCCGAACGGACAGAGUCUCCCCUGUCCGCCCAAGGCUAACCAACGAGAUUGUGUACAACAAGUCCCCAGGAAAACAACUUGGAUUCAUACACAAUCAAAUAACGAUAACACAAACAGUGUUAAAAUCAUCAAGAGCAAGCGAUACUAGUAAAGGCAUACAAGUAUACAAAAGAGAGAAACUUAACUAUUUGAACCAUAAACUUGAAGUAUUUAAAUACAACUUGCAUUCAACUUCAUUUAAACCUUCAUACAUUGUUUCCAAUCUUUUCCAAAAUGUAAAUACAUCAAAUACUCUCCAAAACCUCACCCUAUACAACAUCUACUCUCAAAAUAUAAAAACAGGGUGGAGCUAAUGCAAGUAGGAAAGUAAACUAUCAACUGAUACCACUAGGGCGCUAAGCCCUUGCCGCGAUCCUCCCGCUCGGUCGGGACACUCGAACUAGCACCUACAACAAAGGGUGUGAGAACUAUGAAUAGUUCCCAGUAGGUUCGGCCGCCGACUCCACCGAUCUACCCACUAGGUCGAAGCAGGCAUAGAGAGAUAUAUAUGCAAUAUAUAAACAAAGCUAAACUAGCUAAAAGCAAAUAUGAUAACUGAGCAAGUAAGGAAACGUAAGCAAGUAGGUAGAAUCAUGAAUAUCUAGCUAUGCCUCAAUCUGAUAUCAUGCAUGCAUGAACGAUAAAUAAAGCUGUGUAGAAAGCUGCUAUGAACAACAACAACAACAAGUAAGGUAAUGUGAACAACCAUAGGAAAGCUACUAUAAACAACAAGUAAUGAGUGUGACUCAAUAGGUUACCCAAUUUUAGAAUGAACUCGAGGUUCACAAGCAUAACUCACGUGUAAGUCUCAUAGGGAAAGUCUCAUUGAACUACUCCCGAGACCGCCUGCGGACAGCACACAGACCGUCCAGACAGCACACUGACUGUCCCUCUAGUGACCAACCUCCGGAGUGCACAGCUUGUGGGGAGCGACCCCUCCAAGCGCAGACAGGCUAUGUGAGCACGAUCACUCACGAUCAACAACAACCUAUCCUCUGAGGGUAAUCUCAUCAUAGAAUCAUGGCGUUCUAAUACCCAAUCUCAGUGUUUCAACUACACUAGGGUUCUCAUGUCAUAAGCUAUCAACAAUCAUAUGCCACUCGUCAUAGUUUUCUAUGUUAGAUGCCACUUGCCACUUGCCAUUUUGACUCAUUUUCAACACUAGUUACAUCAUACUAGUUCUUUAGUAGCAGAAACUUUAAUCAUCUCAUAUAGGGUCUAGGUUUUCAUGCAUACUAGAUCAUGGAUCAAUCAACAAGAUAUAUAUAUAUAUACUAGCAUGCAAAUAUAAGCAACAACAAUCAUCUUCUAACCCUAUAUGAACUUGAGCAAAAAUGCAAUUAGAUCAAUAUUAAACUUAGACAUAGAAAGUAGCCCCGCGGCUUCGGGAAGGUCACCACCCACCUUGUGGUAGUGCCGGAAAGCUAAGAAACUCGGCGUCGCGAUCCACGUGCGCCGCUUCAACACCUGGGUCAAAACGAACCGUAGAGCGACCAAAUCGGCGAUAUCUCCGCGCUCGCUCGUCGGAUCGACGAACCGUCUUCGCCUACGCGUUCGGGAACAUAAUAAUUAGAUUUCCGACCCAUCAAAAUAGAUCAAAACCCUAUAUUCCCAAAAACCCCAAAAUCUAACCCUAGGUUUAGCACCCAUGGAAAAUCAUGGUUUCUAGCUUCAUUGUGAGCUAAAUCCAUGUCCUCUAAACUCAUUAGGUUCCAUUCGAUCCAUUAAAACCAACAAAAAGCUCCCAAAAUCCUAGAAUCUCAUAUUAGGGUUGAGGCUUACCUUUAGGAUUUGCUCCCAAGCAAGCCCUAGCUUGAGGAAGAGGAGGGUGAGAAGCUUCUUCUUCUUCUCCUUGAUCUUCUCCUUCCUUUCCUUCUUCUUCUCUUUCUUUCUCUCCUUCUUUUCUUCUUCUUCUCUUUCUUUUCGGUUAGAGAGAGAGAGAGCUAGGUGAGAGGGAGCGAGAGAGGCUGAGAGUGAGAGAGAGAGAGGCUGAGAGAGGUGUUAUAACCCUCUAAUGUAACAAAAUCCCAAAAAGCCCCUCUAUUUUCUAAAUUUUCGACCAGACCUGCUGUUUCGGGUCCCUUGUACCGGUACACGGGUCCUUGUACCGGUACAAGGCCUGGGUGACAGCCGAACCCGAGUGCAACCCGAGCGCUCGGUUUCUCGGUUUCGACGGGUUUGUACCGGUACAAGAAGGCCUUGUACCGGUACAACACCUGGAACCCUCAAACCCGAGAAACAUUGAUGGUUGUACCGGUACAACCAUCACCCUUGCACCGGUACAACAGCUCCAGAAAGCUAUUUUUCACCUCGCUUCAGCUCUACCUCACGCCGAUCGAUGUCAAAACCAUUCCAACACCUUUGGAACUCAUUUUUGCUCUUCCAAACUUGUUGGAAUGCCGAAUGGAACGUGUCCAAACCGUUCAAUUGCUCACUUUGGUCCAUUUGGCCAAAGUUAGCCAAAUUCCAUCGAGUUCAAUAUCUCACAUGGACUGACUCUCUAGGCAAUGUGAAUAGCUGAAUGCGAGAGUCGAGUCAUGAUAUUUGAGGGUGCCUUAGUAGCCCAGAGUUCCGGUUUUGAUCCGGUGGACCGAGUGGUGAUAGUGGAUCACUAUGGUGAGAAUAGUUUGACGGUCGCCAAAUUCUGGCGAGUUGGUCUUGUAGUACCUCAACCAAUGUAGUGCUUCUGAGCUUUGGAUAGGAUUGGCUUCAAUGUUGGUGACUGGUCGACACAUCUGGUGAGUGUCGGACUGAGUCGGAGUCGUUUCUGCACGAAAUAGAUGCAGAAAUGGACUCGGCACACUUAAAUUAGAAAAAUUAGAGUUUUGCCAGAUUCGGGCGCCUAGAACUGGCUUUGGGUCGCCCAGAAGUUGAGUGCAGAACUGAGCAGAACUGGAAGCCAAUUCGGGUCCAUAUUUCGGGCGCCCGGAUGUGGGUUCGAAAGUUCACCUCGUGAGUAUCGUUUGCGCUGACACGUGGCUGAUGGUAGGUGAGGUCCGCCGGAGCUGGUUAUGGGCGCAGCACACCGCGAGCGGAGAGUUCGAGGAGGAAGCUUUGUGUAGCCUGGAGGAUUCGGGCGCCCAUAAUGUGGGUCCGGGCACCCGGAAGUGCCCGAGUCUGCAGAGACACCAGAUUGCAGCAUCUAUUCUUGGGGCUUAUUCUACCAUUCCAGCACCCUAUAAAUAGGUGGAGAGUGACCCUGGUGAGCUCUUUUCACUCUCUCUUUACAGUAGCACCUCUGAUUUCUCCUCCACUCCUCGAAUUUCCUCAAUUUGCACCCAAUCUUUCAAUUGGAAGGUGGUGGAGUGCUGAUCCUGUAGUUUUUCAGCGACGAUUUUGGUGUUUUGGCUCGUGUGCGACGUAGGAAGGUCGGAUUGCGGUGAAACUUGGUUUGCUGGAUUCUAAACUUCCAGAGGAAUCCACGAAGCCCAGAAUUUUAGAUUUUGGUUGAGGUUAGCUUGGUCGAUUCUAUAUUUUUCUGGACUGCUGGUGACUUUGAUCUAAAAAUCUGUUUUCUUGGGUAUUCUUGAUGCUAUUCUUGGAAGGAGUGGGAUUUUGGACCUGAGGUUGAUACUCCAUCAUUAUUCACUGGAUUUGAAACUUGCCUCACCUGAAUUGGAGAUUAUUAGGUGAAUUUUGAUAUUGGAGUUGAGACAAUGUAAGCUUAAGUGUUGAAAUUUGGUGAAUUGAUGGAUUUUGAUGGAUUUUGGGUGUAGAUCCUUUGAGUAGCUUUGUUGCUGGUUGUGGGUGAUCUCGGCUAAGGCUACCAGCAUUUGUGACCUUCUUGCUGCCAGGGAAUUGCUCUAGAGGUGGGUUUAUCAUUGGUUUUGCUCCUAAGUAUAUGUACAGUAACAUGUAUAGUUUCGACUUCAGAAUAUCAUGUUGUAGCUCAAAUUCAUCGAUUGGUAUAAUAUAGGAAAUCUGAAUUUGGAGCAUGAAUAGUAAUUAGUUGAAUAUACAUGUUGGACUUGGAACUUGACUUAGGAGAAAACCAGCGAUUCGACCUGUCAUAUGAUUCUACUACUUGAUUUAGCUCUAGGAGCCGUGGUUUGAGUGUAUCACUGCUGUUUCAGCGCGAUGGAUACCCGGGGUAGUUUAGAAUGCAUUUACGCUUGUCCUAGGAUGCCGAGCUUAUUUUAUAGCAGAGUCUAGGCUGUUUCGGGUUGUCGGGUGCCGUCGGGGUGGACGGUGGACCCAGAUUUUUGGUCUCAGAUUGUGCCGAGGGCACGUGGGUUUCGUUUCUAGACCUGUUUUGACCCUAGCUACUUGACUUUGGUUUGUUAGAGCCUAAUUGAGCUCGACAGAGAUACGUUUGCAUACUCGGUUGGGUAGCGCCCACGAGUGCCACCGGAGUCGGGCUUAGUGCGUUUGCGUUUGUGUCGUUCGUGCAGGUUGGACUUGCUCUCUACGAACUGGUUAGUGUGGAGGUAGCUGUAUAGUUGCGACCAGGCGGGAUGGGUGUGUUCACGUCCCAGGGACGGGUAUGAUUACAGUCCUUAUUUGAGAUUGGGUCUGUGUUGACAUUGUACUACAGAGGGUUAGAGUUAAAGCAUGAUAGUAUAGCGAUAUUUAGCUGUAUAUUUGUUCCAGCUUUCUUUACUAUUCCUGCUUAUCCCUGUAGACUUAGUGGGUGGACCGAUGAGUUUGAGGGCGGUACCCACUGAGGACUACUUGUUUUUACAGUAGUUCUCACACCUUGUUGUUACCACUGUUUUGCAAAGCCGUCGCCUUCGGCUGCUGCUGUUGCUGAUCUUGAUUGUGGCAAAGGUGUCGCGAGUUAGAGCCCUUCUAGUCGAGUCGCAGAGCUAGAGGAGCUCCAGCUACAGGUAGUUGUAGUUUUUGGGUCUUUACAUACAGUUAUUAUAUCUCGCCAGAGCGAGUGUUUAUAUACCUGGAUGACAUGUAUGUAUUGAACCACAGUUUAUAUAUUUGGUUUAUUUUUCUAGCUGCUCUAUACUACUGUUUGUGGUAUUGUAUGAUUACAGGUACUACUUUUUCGCUUCGUAUACAGAGGAAUUACCUAUGUAUACGGCGGGUCUGUUAGCGAGCCCGAGGAACGAGUAAUCCGGGACGUGACAACCAAGGUGGGGGAAAUUGUGCUCACGUACUUGUGAGCAUAGGCAAGGUUGCCUAGUGCUUGAUUUAAAAUGGAAAGGCGUAAGACGCUCGAGUAUAGGUACUCGUGGAGUGCGAAUUUGGUUCAGCCUAGAGAGUGUGUUGGCAGUAGCACUUGAGCGUUGCUAGGUCUAAAGUAGGUCAUGGAUCACUUGUAGUGCUAGUGGCUCUCACUAGGUUCUUAGGAGCCGAAAGAGAUAUGUAUUGCUCGGCAGAGUGUGUCGUGAACGACGACGAUGGCGGAUAUUACUUGAAGACGAUCCGUGCCUCGACCAUUUGUGGACUGUAGAGCUUGGGGUCAUGUGGAUAGGCGUAGUCAGCUGUGUGGGAGAGCGGCCCGAUACCUAUGGGUAGGGCAGAGGUUUGUUGAGGUCACGCCUCCUAUUCCUGUGAGCUCCGGAGUUGUAUCACAGUGAGAUUAAGACAGGAGAGAGAGGCAUGACGAUGCGCUCCAGGCGGACGAGUCACGUGUUGACAGGCGAGUGCGGUUCGACCAACCGGCGGCGAACUGCUUGGAUUUGGAUCAAGGCAUGUUCAUGGCAUUUCAUAUAGUGAUGCAUUAGAACAUUGAUAGUUAACAUUGUUAAAGAUAUAGUAGAAUCUUGACAUAUUUGGUAAAGGCAUAGUGAUACAUUUGAAGCAUGAUAUAGAUGUAUAUGUGCAUGUUGGGCUUAUUGUUUCUAUCUUCCUUAUCAUAUUGACCUUUCUAUUGUCUCUAUGCCUUCUUAGACCUAGUGAAAAAAUUGGAGGGGUUGGCAGCCAAACCCACUGGGAACUUUGUUUGGUUUUCACACCCUGUUUUCCAAAGCCAAGCGCGAGCGCAUUCAUCGAGGACGUGGCUUGGGCGUUGAGCCCUAGAUAGUGUGGACCACCGGGACUAGAUUACUACCCCUAUGCAUAGCAAGAAAAGAAAAGAAAUGCAUAACCCUUUGUGAGAGAUUUUGAGAUGAAAUAAUGGCGUAUAUGUGAGAUAUCCUUUUGUAUAUAAAGGAGAUGUCAAUUUGUAUGUAAAUGAGAAGUUUAAAGAAUUUAAAUGUGAAAAUGCGAUGUAAUAGAUAGCUUUAUUUCUCUCGCAUCUGUGUAUACCUCUUGCAAAUAUUUUGUUGCUAAUAUCUCCUGUGUCGGGUUGUGACAACACAUGUCCACACGCAUCUACGGUCUACACUGCACCAAGUACACCAAAAAUAGCUUAAGGACAUGUGUCAUAUCUUGAUCUGGAUGAUCUCCACCUUUAUUUAUAAAACACUGAAAGUAUCUACUAGUAAGCUUCAUAACAAUACAAAUAAACUAGUUCUGUUUUCUACUCCAAAACUCGUCUAAAUUUUAAAUAUUUCGACUUCAACUUUUAGUUAAUCUAUUCUUUUAGUUCUAAAACUCUAGACUAGCUCCUCCACUUAUAUGAAGUUUACUCUACUGAUAAAAGACAGUUCUUAAACCUUAACAUGUAGUUCACUGACGUGGAAUAUGUGGAGUUAGAUUACCUCAACGACUUGCGUUUUUAUCUUGAAACUACCUAUACCAUUUAAGCUACUAAUAAUCAAGUCCACGUGGGCUCUUGAACACCCCCCUUCGAAACUAAAGACGUACACACUAAAAUUUAUCCUAAGGGGUGUUCUUAAGAUUAUAAAGAGGAAUACUCGAAACCUUUCCAUCCUUCGGAUUAAACUUAAUAAAAUUUCACACCCCCACGGAUCGAUUUCAAUUCUAUGGACUCUUGUUCUUUUCCUUCUAACCAGGAUUCUGACAUCUAUGUCAAAAAUAUCCGAAACGAAAUCUAUCAUUGUGGUUGUCUAAAGAUCACCACUUAAGACUCUAUUCACUCUAAAGAUUAUUAUGGUAAUAACUUCGAUCUCUACGUCACAUAAAACUCCUAUAGAAAGGAAAAUCCUGAUCUCAUCUAUCUGGAUGAGGUCAACUCAAAACACAGGAUGAUCAACUUCUAUGAGGAAGAUGGAAACUGGUUCGAUACUUCAGACAUCUACGUAGGAAAACCUUUCUCCGAUAAUUAGAACUCUACGUUAGAUAAGAUGUCUUAGUAUGAACCCUUAAUCGUCUAAAUGGAUAUCCUACAUUCGGACAUCCGACAUCUACCUAGAAAUUCUUCUUCAACUCUGGACUACCAAGACAUCUAUUCAUAUUCCGAUCUGAUCACCGAGUUCCAAAACGUGUCUUCGGUCCACAUCUAAUAAAACUACACAUACGUGGACAACGAUCUUAAUGGAGAUAGUCCUAUAACAACCGGAAUCGAAGACAGGUGUCAAACUAACACGUAGUCUACCUACAAUUCUGUCGAAAAGACUUACCACUAAAUCUACUCCUCUAGAUAUACUUCGUUGGACUUCCUAAACAUCAAAGACCUGUAUUUUUAUUUCACACGUUUAACUGCUCUAGAAAUAUACCUGAAUUUGUUCGAGGAUUCGUCACCGUGAACUUUAAACUAAGAAAUCAACAUAGUUUACCUAAAGUACAUUUGUACAGACUACUUACACAUAUAAGUUUCCUUAUACUACAUGUCUAACACUAGGACACAAAUAUACAACUACUAUAAAACUAAAAACCAUGGUUAUAUUUACACUAUGUACUACACUUCUUUAAUGACUUACUCUUAAAACUAUACUUUCUAGAACCCGUUCGUCUACAUUAAGAGUUAUACUUCUAGUAAUCUCUUAGUUUUCUUUAACAAUACUCGGUUAGUGUGAUAUCACUUGUCAAUAACUUCUUCAAACCUAUAAAACUACAAUUUGGACAUCACUGUGGAAUACUAAGAUCACAUGUAGAAUUCUUCUUAUCUCCACUAGGUUAACCAGUCUUAUCUAUACGUGUCUAAUAUCCUAGAAACCCUAUAGAUCAUCUGAUAUGAUCUGGACUAUACCGAAUACGACAUUUGUCUAACUCUUCUAUAUGGGUAUUAGGCUUAUCUCUAGUAACCUUAUGAAAUCUUUCUCAAAACUCCAUAGAUUUCCCUUGAUAUAGAAUACCUAAUGUAAUGUCACUGAAAGGACGUCAUGAUCUUCCUAUAUCACUACGUUUAACCUAAUCACUAUGUCGACUACAUUUCAGAUGAUGACCUAAAUAAAAAGAGGAUCCUCCUCGUCGACAAAGAACCUUCAGUUGGUUUGUUAGAAACUAACGAUCUUCAUGAUACCUUAGACUUGAAUAUCGUAAUCUAUGGUGACAUUUUCUCCGAUUCACCUAUUCUCUUAAAGAAAUACUAAACGGUGACUACCUCGCUGGAAAUCGUGAUCACACAUAAGUAACACUAACAUCUAGACGUUAACUAUUUACACGGGUUCUCUUACACCUCUGAUUCUACUUAUCUAAAUACUUUCACUCUGUAUUCAAGUAAGCUGUCUUAUACUUCCUCUUACAUUAACGAAACCUUAAACACUCUAGACGUUUCUUAGACCGACUAGUCGAGUGGUUCCCUAACAGAUCCUGACACUAGGAUCUUAGCAGCUCCCCCUACCCCGACUCGGGUGUUACUUUCAAUGGCCGCUGCCGUUGGGUUGGACAACGUCCAAGUUACCCAUCUUUGUUCAGCUUGUCCAUCGACACUCCUCGUGACAAAAACAUAGGAGUAGGGAUACCGCUGUCACGAGUAAAGACGUUCACCUAUCCUUCCCGAAAUCGGGACUUACCAAGGCUCUGGGUACUCCGUCCCACACUGGAAUGUCUGUGGGAAGACUCCUGGAUGAUACACACACCUCAACACUCCGGCGUUGAUACCCUUCUCCCGCCAAGGGAUUUUGUGUGUACUUUGCUAUGAUCGCGUACCGGCAUUAUCGCGAGUGGGCGAAUCUUGGAUGUAUCGACAUGGUACACACGCCAAACACCUUUAGGCUAAGUGGCCGGAACCAAGUUCCGCUUCAGGUGGUAACACAGGAGCCUACAUGUAUCUGUUCGUGAUUCACUUCCAAGUUUGGGCUUUCCAUGGAAGCGGCUUAUGCACCAUAUUCUCUAGGUCGUAGGAAAACUCAAUAAAAAAAAAAAACUUAAAGUCAAAAGUAAAAACUUCAAAAUUUAGUACACCCCCUUACAAUCAUAAAACUAAAUUUUGUUCACUAAAUUUUGAAGAAAUAUACGAGUAUACAAAAUUUUGAAGUUAAACCGGAAACCUGAAACACCCGUCGGGUGACAGUUACCCGGAACGGACCCUCGGGUUCGAAACCAGAGAAAAGUACACCACAAAUCAGGGUGUAACCUUUCUCUGGGAGUGAACGAGACCAAAUAUAAGAUGAAAUAAGAGUAACAAUAAUGAACCCUUCACUACUCUCACCUCGAGAGCAGAUUUAUGUGCGUGCGCGCGUGCCGUGCUCGUGCUCGGCCCGGCCCGCCGCCGCGCGCACUUGGGCCAAGUAAAAUAAAAACAAUGUGAAAAGAAUAAAAUAAAAACCGGAAUGGACCUAAUCCAGGUCUAAACCAGGUCAGCUUUCCAGCGUGGAGCCCUGAGUUGGUCGGGGUUGCCAGAUGGAGCCCUUCCACCAGAAGGGCAACCUUGGGAAGAAAACGAGAGGAUAAAUGAUCCCACUCACCGACCCAAUCCUGUUAUCACUGUAUGUCUUUGGGAUCGGACUCGAAGAGGGGAAAAGAGAGAAGAAGUGACAAAACGACCUAGAGACUUUUCGACACUGCCAAGCAAGAACGCGGUGGGACUUCGGCACGGCUGCCCCACCUGCUUCCAGCAACAUAGCGAUCCUCACUAACGGCCGCGGAGCAUGCACCUCCCCGUUAGAACGAAGAUCCUGUCACGUUAGCGUGCGGAGCUGAGUGUCCGAGGUAGAUUAGGAAAUAAGAGAUAUCAAAAAUAAAUAAAGCAAGAAUUAGUUGCAAAGAUUUUUGUCACUUAUUCAACAAAAGUUUGUUUUAACAAAUAUGUUUAUAAACUGAUUUCUAAAGUUUUCUCUUGAUUAAAAAGGUUGUGGUGGAUGGUGGUAGUAGAGUUGGAGUGUAGAGAGGUAGGUUCCCGAUGUUUGUGUGUUCAUAGUGAACCCAUUAUGAAAAUGUUCAUAAGAUCGAGAUGAGAGAGAGAGAGAGAUAUAUAUAUAUAUAUAUAUAUAUAUAUAUAUAUAUAUAUANUUUUUCAUCCGAAGGCUAAAAACUUAUGAGUACAAGGAACUCUAUACUCAUAAGAUUAUAGCAGCCCCAGCCUAUAUAUAUAUAUAUAUAUAUAUAUAUAUAUAUAUAUAUAUAUAUCGAGAGAGAGAGAGAGAGAGUGUGUGUGUGUGUCUAGAGCUACUAUACUAUCGAAAGCAUAGAGGAUUUGGUGCUUCCGACUUUUUGGCCCUUAGAUCAACCCCUUUGAUCAUUUGUAACUUUUGGAUUAAUACUAUUACCCUAUGGGGACCACUCAACCCUAAGGGUACCACUCAACCCUAGGGGGACUGCAAUCAGCCGAACCGUACAAUUCUUAAUCCAAGGGUCAAAAAGUCGGAAGUAUCAAAUUCUCUAUGCUCCCGAUAGCAUAGUAGCUCUACACACACACACACACACGUAUAUAUAUAUUAUGCAUAUUAUAGAUUAUAGAUUCUAUGUACAUUCGAAAAUGGGUAUAAAUCUUACACUUUUUAUUUUAGCGUUAAUAAAAAUUUAAAUAAUUUUUAGUAAAAAUUAAAAAAGUAGAUGUGAUAAAUAAAAAAUUAAUAGCCUUUGGACAGAGUGGGUAUAAGAUGUACACUUUACUCUCGGGUGUAUCAUAGCAUUGCUCCUUACUUUAAGAAAAACUUGUAUAUAUACCCCUAACCUUUAGCUCUUUUUCGAACAUAUGCAUAAAUUUUUAAUUUUGAUAAUUUGACUCUCUAACUUCGUCAACUAGUUUAACAGGUUCUCUGUUCAAUUGAAAUUGUCAGUAACGCAUCUAUUUUAAUUAUAUGUCUUGCAUAUAAUCUCUAACUAUUUUUUUUAAAAAAAAUUUAACUUUUUAUUCUAACAUAUAAAAAAGCCAAUAAAAGUUAACGGAGGUUCAUCUUAUGUCUCAAUGCUCAUACUUAAUUAAAAAAAAAUUUUUGAAAAAAAAGACUUUAAUAUCUUAUAAAAUUAUGCAAACAAUUUGCCACAUAAUGACUAUAUUAUCAGUAACAUCAAUGGAAGAGAUGGGUUUAUUGACUUACAUAUUAGGGCUAAUUGCAUGCAACUCCCAAUAAACACAGCGAAUUAUAAAUAUAUUCCUACAAUUUAUUAUGUUAUUCCUGCAAAAGUCCUAAUAUUUUUAAAUAUACCCCUGCCAUUAGGAUCCGUUAGAUAAAUUUAGCUAACCAUAAGUAAAAUACUUAAUCCGGUUAGUCGAUGAGGUAAAUAGAUAUUUUCACCCCUCUUAUAAUCCUAUUAACUAACUACCUGAUGGGCCUCUAACCCUAGUUGAAGUAGGACCAAACCAGCGUCAAAGCAAUCCUGCGAGGAGGCCUCAUGUAAACUUUUCACUUUCUUCUGAUGAUUAAUCUAUAGUUCAAUAUAUUCUGUGAGGGAAUGAGAACUUUUUUUUUCUCUUCUUUUUCCUCUUCCUCUCACUCCCUCAUGCUAGUUUCGAAUCCAUAAUUACUAGGGUUUCUCCAUCCCCAUUCAUCAACGAGGGGUAGAAGAAUAAGGUGAGUAUGCUACUGUCACGCCCGGGUACCAGCGGAAGCAUAUCCGGCACGUGCACAGACCCGCCAUACACCUGCAGUAUAUAAGGCGUCUACAAGCAACACAAGUCGAUAGGAAGUAAAACAAAGAAAGUCCUAUCCUGAUAUCAGAGCAAAGUACAAGUCAAAAUACUAUCAACAAAAGGGCAAGAGUGUACAAUCCAAAAGCUCAACCAAAAGAUGAGUAUCACAACUAAAACAUCAGAUCCAAACAGGAGAUAUACAAAAAUAGGUACAAUGGUAGCCUUUCUAUACAAAAGGACAUCACCCUCGGCCGUAGCCCGAGUAACAAGGUGAUCGACUAGCAUGCUCCUAGUAGUCCCUAGCUAGGCGCGACUCCCUUGCCACGAUCCCUAGCCUCUCCUGUAACAGGCUCUGUAAAAACAACCACCAAAAGGGCGUGAGAACUAUUAACAAUAGUUCCCAGUGGGUAAGCCGCCAGCCUCGGCGAAUUACACCACUAGGCUCAUGAUGUACUAAAUGGAAAUAAAAGCAGUAAUUUGCAUGAUAUAUUUUCAAUGCUAACAAUUAAUGAACAUGUAAGCAACAUGUAAUCAUAGUCUCAACAGUAAUGAAUCUACUGAUUAAUAGAAGGAUAGCAACUACUAUAAGCAUGAACAUAGCGUAAAUGUGUAAGUAACUACUGUACACUGUAACUGGUAAUCAUUCAUUACUGUCCAAUUUCCUUUAGCACUUUUCAUCCAUUCACAGGGAUCUACUCAAGGUAGUCCAGCUUGCGCCGCGCCUAAUGGCCCCGUGGUAGUAUACACUCCCCACGGCAAUCCACUUCGGCACCCAAUCCCGCACGGGCGAGCAACUGUCGCGUAGGCCAACUCCGGAGUGCCGGCUUGUAGGGAGCUACCCUCACAAGCGUGUGCGAAUGAGCACGAUGGCAAGCAAGCAAAGUCCACUAUCCACAUGUCUCAAUUUUUAUAUUUUCACAUGCAAAGUUCAGAACCCUCGAUCCUCUGAUCGGAAUGUCAAUACACAAAUAGUAACAAAAGCUAGUAUCCACUAGAUUGUAAACAUAUAAGGGUAAAGCUAAAUCACAUAGCAUUAUAAUCUUUCCACUAGUAUAGCACUAUCAACAUAGUCAUGAGCAUGUCAUAGUUCUCUAUAUUAGAGUCAAGAGAAUGUCAUUGUUCUUUACUUUAAAGUGCAUCCUACACUUGUUCAUAAGCCAUUCAACUAUAUUGAAUAUGAAUAGAAAUACUUUCAUGUAUAUAUGUUCUCUAUAUCAUAGAAACAUAAUAAACUGAUCUCCCGAUUGUUCUACUGAACUAAACAAGAAUACUUAAAGCAUGAGUACUUUUAUGCAUGAACGCUCAUUUCACAUAUGAUAAACGUCAUGAUGACGAAUUCCGAGCCCUUUAGCAAUCACAUAGGCAUAUAAUUAAACCGCGUCUAUAAUACAUAUAGAACAUAGGGGAGCUUCACUUGCUCUGGUUAGGUCAAACCCACCUAGUUCAAGGCUCCAAACAGUCCAAAGGAGUCCCAAGGAUCAGCUCCACAAGGCUCCAAUCCUGCUGAACACAAGCAUCAACACCGCGUCAAAAUGACGACCGAAACGUCCGAUUUCGGCCUAAUUUGCACUUAGUACAAAGUAACCCCUUAAAUCCCUAUUUGGGCUCUUGUAAUACCUCAAGUGUAACCUCCAAGAGUCCUCACAAGUCAGUCGAAGACGAUCCAAGGCUCGAUCGCGAUCUUGCUGCGAACAAUACCGAAACGGCGUCGCAAUGCUCGUAUAUAAGCUUCUAUGGUUCAAUUCUUGCGAAAUUGAAUUUCUAAUGGAAAUUCCUGCUUACCCUUGGUUAGAGCAGCUUCCAAACCAGCUUCCAAGAGUGCAAGUUCAGCUCAAAAAGGCACAAAGACCUGCUGCGAAGAGAUCAUACAAAACAACGUCAAUUACGCGAUUAAACCGCGUAUAGUUCCGAAUUAGCUUCAUAAAUGGCUAAUUAUGCCAAUUAAGCUUCCAAGUAGCUUAUCCCAGAUCUAAGAGGGUUAAUUCUCAGCUAAAUAACUCAUAUAUACAUGCUGAAAUCUCAGUUUAAAACAGUUGGAAGCAAAAUCCUGAAAUCGAUACUCAAAUCGACGAAUAGAGCGCCGAUAACGGAAAAAAAUCAAGUCGUAUACCUUCUCAAGCUGGCAACCAGCUCCUUACUGGUCCAGGGCUGCAAAAAUCCCUUCAAAACGCUCUCUUGCACGUGCACAAAGGUGCUGCGACGCUCGCAACCAGCGAAGAACGCGCGCGGCGACGAAAACGAGCGAAAUCGGCGAAUUCGAUGUAGAGAGAGAAAAACCCUAGAGAGAGAGAGAGAGAGAGAUGGUAGAACACUCCUCUGCACUCCAGCAACAUCCACAGAGCUCCUGGGGUCGAGCUGGGUCCAUAAGAUAGGGAUCAAGAUGUGAAAAGACCAAAAUAGCCUUGCUGCCACGAAUUGCCACUGUGUACCGGUACACCAUUGCGGCUGUACCGGUACAGCAAGCAGAAAAGGCUGAUUUUCGCCAGUUCAAUGCACUUUCCCACUUCUCGCAUUCCAAACAUUCUCUAACUUAUCCGAACACUUGUUCUACCCUUUUAGAACAUGUAGGAGUGAUCCACACACCAUUCCACAUACUCGAACUCCGCAAUUUGCAAAAGUUCAGUGUAUUACAGCUACAUACUAUAAAUCCAAAACUUGUUUAAUCUAAUUGUAAUUUAGGUUAUUUUGUUGUAACGUAAGUUAAUUUUGGAAUAUCUUGAUGUAUUUUAUGUUACUUUUAGAACAACUUUGGUCUCAUGACGUAGUAAUUUAGCAUAUUUUUGAGAAAUGUGUAAUAUUUUUUAUAAAUCAUCCAAGCUGGCAAAGUAUAACAAUUUCAUUGUCAUCUUUACAAAAAGUAUACAAGGACUAGUCAUUAUUAUUUAUCUUUUUUGUUACUAUAAUGGCAAUUUGAUAAUAUGGAUGAAGAUAGUAUUUUUCAAGUGAAGUUCAAUUAUGUUGGGUAUAUUAAAACAGUGAAAACUGCUUGUGGACUCAGAUAUUGUGAUGGCAAGAAGAAUACAUUGAUGAUAGAUCAUGAUAAUUACAAUCUCAUCGAAUUUUGUCGAGAUCUACGAUCACUGUGGGAUUGGAGUGUUCCAGAUAACAUCAAGAUAUGGUAUGUAGCAAGAAAUGUUAACCAAAUAGGUUCGUUCAAAUAUUCACUAAGCAGCAAUUCAUGGCUAUAUUUUUCAUAUAAAAUGAUAUAAAGAAGUGAAAAUAUUUAUAACCAUUUAGUCGCAAGGCAUUCCGUUAAACUAUAUUCGUGGAGAAACUAGUUCCUAAUGUGCAAGACACCAACACUCAAGUGCGCACAAGAGAGCAAUGUUGGUAUGAAUGAUGAUAACAAUGUGGGUGUUGUUAGUGAAGGUGGUCAAGUUGCUGAAGAAGCAGAUAGUGAAGUUGUACGUUGGUGAAGUUCGUGAAGAAGUAACAGCUGAAGAAGCAUUUGGUGAAUCAUAUGCAGUGUUAACUGAAGAUAGCUUUUGUUCUCUUAAAACUGAAGAAUACAUAUCAUAUAUAUUGAAGUAUUUUCAUGUGAUAAGAAUAACCCUAUUAUGGAUAUAGGAGCAAAAUAUCCCACUAUAGCUUCAUUUAGGGAUGUGCUGACUUAUUUUGCCGUAUUAAAUGAGUUUGAGUAUAAGCUACAAAAAAGUGAUCUUUUGAGGGUAACUACAAGAUGCUCAAAAUCUUAAUUGCAAUUGGCAAAUCCAUGCAUCUUAACUUCCUUUAGUUUUUCAAGUAGUACCAACAUUAUUCUAUUUUUUUAACGUACUUUUAGUAUCAUUCAUCUAUAAAUAAUAAUUAAUGACAUGUCUAACUAACAUUUUUAUAUUAUAGGUAAAAACUUUACAAGGAAAGCACACAUGCACAUCUAUCAAUCUGUAUCGGAACAAAGUAGCAACACAAGCUUGGGUAUGAAUAAGGUUAUUGAGUGGCUAUGGUUGAAAAGAGAUUUGUCUAUAAGCGAAUUGCGUAAAAGACUACAAUAAAAAUAUCAUGUGGACUUGGCCUACUGCAAGGUCUUUAGGGGGAAAAGAAAUGGCAAUAUCUAAAAUCCAUGUGAAGUUGAAGCUGUUGUAUUAAAGAAUUUUUUUAUUUUAAAGAAGAAAUUAUUAGAAGAAAUCCUGAUAGCCACAUGGAGGUAAAGCUACAAGUUAUUAAUGGAGACAUCAUUUUCAACAAAUUUUUUCUUGCAUUUGGUAGUUGCAUACAAAGAUUCCUCACUUGGAUGUAGACCUUAUAUUGUAUUAAAUGGAUGUCAUCUCAAAGAAAAGAAUAGAGGAGUGCAUAUAUCGGCUACAAGUAUUGACGAAAAUAAAUUAAUUUUUUCAGUAUCUUUUGGUAUUGUGGAGUCGAAGAACUCCAACAGUUGGGAAUGGUUUCUUCAUGGGUUGAAGACUGCUAUAGGAGAACCCGAAGGCCUAGUGUUCUCCUCGAAGAGACAUAAAGAUUUGGAUGAGGCCGUUCAAGGAGUGUAUCCAAGAAUUGAACAUACAGAAUGCAUGCGUCAUUUGUAUAGCAACUUCUUGGAGAUUGCUAAUAGAGACAAUUUGUGGGCUACAGCAAGAGCAUGUACACCUACUGUUUAUGAAGCUAGCAUUGCUAAGGUGUAUGAAGCAAACCCAAUGGCUAUUGCAUAUAUGCGAGAGAACCAUGGCUAUUUGCAGAGUUGAAGUAAAUUCGGGACAAUUGCUAAGCGUGAUUACUUAACUAAUUAUAUUUCUGAAUUAUUCAAUGCAUGGAUUUCUAAUGGUAGGCAUAGACUAUUGAUUGACAUACUUGACACUAUCCAACAAAAAUUAAUGGUCAAGAUGGAGAAGAGAAAAAAUAGACCAAGAAAGUGGGAUCAACAGUAAUCAAAUAUGUAAACAAGAUCAGCAAGGUAAUUUAUUUACAUUACACUGAUUUUUUCCUUUAAUUUUAAGCAAUCUUGGCUAUGCUAUCUUCAUGUUCGAUAUGUUAGAUAUGUUAGAUAAUUUAGUUUACCUAAGUAAUUUAGUUACAUCUUUUCAUAUUCUAAUUAAUUUUCACAUUAGAUAAGCUAUGUUGUUUAAUCUUCACAAUUUUUAGGGUUUUGGUCAAGAUGAGGCGUUAUGGAGUGAUAAGUUUUCAGCAAAAUUAGUUGGACCUCAUUCAAGAUUCGAGGUUAUACUGCAUAACACGCAGUAUAGCUACAGAAUAUGGCAAGUAAAAGGUGUGCCAUGUAUUCAUGCAAUGGCAGUAGUAGGUGACUUAAGAUAUGAAAAGUGAAAAAAAAUAUGUGCACCCAUAUUUUACGGAGGCCAAAUAUAAGGAGGCCUACGCUGCAUCUAUUGCACCAUUGCCUGCGAUGAGUGAGUAAAGAUUGACAUCAGUCAUCGUGUAUUACCUCGUAUUUUAAAUAGGCCAGCUGGAAGGCCUCAAUAAACAAAUUAGAAUAUUAGAUGAGAUGUUAAUCAAGAAGAGGUAUUGAUGCAAAAGAUGCAAGCAAUAAGGCCACCGUGCAUAAACAUGCAAGAACCCUUUCAAUGCGAAUCUGCACCCUAAAGUACCAUCUCAAGUAGGGAAUUAGCACCCUGAAGGACCAUCUCCAGUAGGGAAUGCGCACCCUAUAGCACCAUCUAAAGCAAGGAAUCCGCACUUCGAAGCACCAUCUCAAGCAAGUACUAGUAGUGGCACAAGUACUAUGUUGACUAACAAAGUUCACUUUUAAUUUAUUUUCUUUGCUAUAUUACUAACUACUAAAAAAGCUACAGGUGUAGAGGAAGGAAGCUAGCAUCAAGAUCAAGAUGGAUAACAGGUGAAGCGACAAUCUCACGGUCCUAACAAAGAAGUGCCAUAAGUGAAAUUAAUGCAAUGGGUUGUCUAGAAAAUCAAGAUUUAAUUUAGUGAAACAAUUGAUGUAGUGAAAGAAUUAGUUUUUUUUAUUUUUGGUUGGUUUGAAUAGAUAUACUUUGUUACAGUGAGUACUUGAAAUGGAUGUAACUUUUCAUAAACUAUCUGUUUUUUGGAUAUUUUGAAAAAUGUGGGUAAUUUGGUGGGUAAUUAGAAUAAGAUUCCUGGAACAACUUGGUUAUGCUUGUAUGCAAUAUUUUGGUUUGAAUAGAUAUGAAACUUGAUACAAUAGUUCUGAAAACUUCAAUUCGAAAUAGUUGUUUUGGUUUGAAUAGAUAUGAAACUUGAUACAAUAGUUCUGAAAACUUCAAUUCGAAAUAGUUGUUUUGGUUUGAAUAGAUAUGAAACUUGAUGCAAUGGCAUUGUCUUUGUAUUGAACUACCAGUUGUUUCCACACUUGUAAUGGAUGUAAUUUGGUUUUACUUGCAUGGUCCAUUGUGGUUUUAAUAGAAGUGUAAGUUAUGAAUAAUAUUAUGUUUGUAUGGAACUACUAGCUUUUUGGAUACUUUGAAUGGAUGUAAUGUAAGGACUAAGAUUUUGGCAAUGUAGCUAAACUCUCUGUUGAUGAUUUUUUUGUGUGUAUUUUAAUUACAAAAGCACUCAUUAAGUUUCGAGAAAAAAACGAGUUAGAAUGGAGAUCUUACGUGAUCUUUACUUUUCACUUAAAGUGAAUAGUAACCCGAAUUUCCGAAAAAGCCAAUGAAUAGAGUUGGCUUCAGGCACGCACCGGACUCCGUUCAUAGUGAUCCAAUAGCUCGUUUUCAACGGUUCGUCUACCCCGGAUCCAAAGGCACUGACGGAUGUUGGGUUUGACACAUGGAUUUCAAGAAAAUCUGGAUAUACAUAUACUCUAUGUAUUUGUGCGUGGUUUUGCCUAUUGGAGAGAGGAUGGAUUUCUUCGCGAAUCAGUGACCAAACCAAGCAAAACAAAAUAGUAGGUUUGAUGUCUUUAUCGUGCUGAUCGAACUAGUGCGAUCUAUUCGCAAACUUGACGGACGGAUCUUCUGAUAUUGCACGUUGAUCGAGGAGUGGUCUUAAAUGGCAAAACGGUAAUUUUGCGAAAAGCUCUACAUUUUAUGUACCAUUUUGCGUGAAAUCGAAUGUGGGGGUGUAUUCGCAUGUUUACUCGUGUUGUGAGGGAGUCGGUUCUAAAUAUCAGAGUUUGGUGGACUUAAACGCAAUUUACACUUUAUGUAUAUAUAGCUACCUAGGGUUUGCAUGGUGCAAACCCUAAUCCUUGACUAGCUCAGCUGAUCCCAGCCGCCCCUCCUCCCUCACCUCGUGUGCCGCGCGCCUCCCUACCGUCGCCAACCGAUCUUCGAUCGGCCAGCACACCCUCAACUACUUUUCUCCCUCUCCAUCUCCUUUUUUUCCACCAUCUUCUCUACCCAACCUUAAACUUGAGCUCAUGGAGAUCAAACCCUUCUCCUUCGGCCACCUCCACGCUCCCUCGACCUCUGGUGGUCGGCAGCUAUCGAGCCCGACCAUCCUCAUCCGUCGGCGCCACCAUUUUUGCCAUGGAUGCCACAUCGGGCUAGUCCUGGCUGAGGUAGCCCCAGCCCCCUUCCUUUGCGCUGCCGACACCUGAGGCCGCCCCUACCGCCUCCCCCGGAGCCCUGGCAACCGUCCUCGCCGGCCGCAGCCACCCCGUGCGCCGCCUUGCCAAUGCUGCCAACCUAUGGCCAGCCGAGGCUGGUGUGGCCGAGCUCUGCAGCACCGUGCCCUCAGCUGCCGACCACCGUCCCCAUCCCUUCCCCUCGGUCCCAGAGGAAGCCUCACCCUUUCCCUGGCCGGUUCGACCGUCGCCGUGGCCGGAGAAGCUCGCCGAGCUCGAGCUCGACCUGUGCAGGCUCGGUUUGCUCCGCCGCCACCGUCGCGAGCCCUGGCCUCCCCACGUUGGCCGCACCCAUCGGCCGCCGGCGUGUCAACCGUAGAGCCACCGCCAGCCAUGCCCUAGCUCCCACUGCUCCGGUAAGCUUGUCAGGGUCUUUUGGUUGCUGUUUUGGGUUUGUUCUUAUUUUUUCGAUGAUCCGAGGUUGUCCCGAUGCCUCCGAAGAUGAGCACAGUGAUCAAUGGUCAGUGCUGAUUACGAUGCUCACCUCGCUUUGGAUCAACGGACUCCGAAUCAGCCUGUUCGGCGCGAUUUACCCCGAGUGCGCGCAGUUUGCAAAAUUUUCGAGUCGCUCCUGUGCCUCCCACAGUGAGUCGUUGUGCUCCGGAUCAUGAGCACGGCCUCCAGCACGUCGAGACCUAUCAGUACGUGUCUCGGUGGACCUAGGAAGUCGUCGGUUUGCGGUAACAAGCCACAAAACCCUAAACCCUAAACCCUAAGCCUCCGUUUGGUUCGGGGUUAAGGAAAAAGUAGCUAUUCCAGGGAUAAAGUUAAGUUCAGGGUUAAAGUGGGGUUAAAGUUUUUUUGUGUUUCGUUGGGGGUUGGAGUUAGUCUAGAAUAAUGAAAAAUAGUGUUUGGUUGGGUAGGUGGGAUAAGAAGAUAAUGAUUGAUAAAGAAGGAUAAUGAUUGGUUGGAGUAGGUGUGAUAAGAAAGAUAGUGGGUUAUUAUGAAUAGAAAAUAGUGUUUGGUUGGAGUUUGGUGGGGUUAGGUGGGGUUAGCUAACCCGGGAUAAUUUAUUUGAGGUGGGGUUAGGUGGGGUUAGCUAACUCCACCUAUUUUUUGGGGUGUUUGGGGAUAAAAUGGGGGUUAAGGGGUUAUUCCACCCCUUAACUCCCAACCAAACAAGGGCUAAAGCACCUACUAACUCUUCGACUUUCAUCUCAUCUAGAUGCUUAACGGUUUCAAUCGUGGCAACGUUUGUCCUAAAGCGCUCCGGAAGAGUUCGAAGAAGUUUUUUAACAAUUUUCGACUCCGGGAUCUUCUCUCCUAAGUUAGCACAUGUAUUAAUAAUAUCUUGAAGUCUAGUAUAAUAAUCAGUAAAAGAUUCAUGCUCUUCCAUUUGAAUUGAAUCAAAUUGACUUGUCAACAUCUAAAGCUUUUGAACUUUUACUAAACUUGUACCUUUAUGUGUAACUUGAAGAAUAUCCCAAAUCUUCUUGGCGGUUUCACACGUCGAGACACGAGUAAAUUCAGUUUACGAUAAAAGCAUUAAACAAAGCAUUUAUUCCUUUACCAAUGAAUGAAAAUAAUUCGUUUUCGUCUAUUUAUUUCUAGGUUUGGGGACAGUAGCAUUAUCGACGACUUCGGUGGGAUACUUUCAUCCGAAUUCGAUUGAUUGCCACACCCGCUCGUCGAUUGCAAUUAGAAAAGCUCUCAUGCGAACUUUCCAAUAGUUAUAAUUUGUGCCAUCGAAGAGUGAUGGUCGAUUAAUAUUACUUCCCUCGACUAUAAUGAUAGAUGAAGAUCUAGAUCCCGCUCUGAUACCAAUUGUAAGUUGCGAAGAGCCCUAGGAUCUUUUAUCUAGAUACUAUCAAACACCUGGGGGGUGAAUAGGUGUAACGACCAAAAACCACAAAUCUCAAUGCGAUGGAAAUUAAAUAUAAAAAAUAAAAAUCAUACCGAGAUUUAUGUGGGAAAACUCCAACUUGGAAUAAAAAACCUACGGGACCAACACGCGAAAAAAUAAUUCACUAAGAGAAAAUAUUACAAGGUGAUUACCGACUCCAUAGACUCUACCUCUCUUAACCUCCUAUAAAUCUCGCGCAAUCCUUCGGUUGUCUACGCCCUCACAUUCGAAUCCACGAACGCCUCGCACACGUCCGAAUCUACGAACACCACUUGAAUCCACGAGCACACGAUCCGAAUCCUCGAACCACCUUUAAUCAUCCCGAAUCCACGACGCCAUUCAUGAAGAACAUCAUGAUUAUGGUGAUCUUUUGCUUAGAGUAUCGAUGAAAACCAGAGAAGAAUCUCUAAGCGAAGCGUAGAUCAAUUCGACAUAUAGAUGUCAAUUUUCAAUACCUCGAAUUAACUUAAAAGAGGCUAAAUUGUAGAAAAUAGAUUUAGAACGAAAACCUAGCCUUUAGGGUUUCUCAAACAUAUAUUCUCGUGAUGUUCAAUGAAUUAGAGAACCCCAAUAGCUUAUUUAUAGACCAUAAAAUCAAUUAAAGUCGGAUUAGAAAGAUUUCGAAAUUUUACACUAUGUACCGGUACUGCAUCAUGUUGGUACCGGUACCAAAUGACGGAAUAAAAAUUCCUUAGGCUGCGGACUGCGGUAUAGGUACCAGGCCGAUGCUGUAUCGGAACCAGCUGCAGUACCGGUACCCUGCCAAUGCAGUAUCGGUACUCUGCAAUUUCGAGAAUUGCACCACCUGACUACUUCUAAUCCUUUAAAUUAUUUAAUUACUUGAUUCUAAUGUCAUAAAAAAGUUUAAAUUAUCAACAUGAAUUAAAACCUUACCUGAGCAUCGUGAUUCACGUCGUGAGAUGUUUCUGAGUUCUCGAAGUCUUAGUUUCUUCAAUGUUCUUCAAUCAUGCACCGAACCUUUCAAGAUGUAAAAUACCGAGAAUUCGGAAAUUAAAUAUCAAACUUUAGUCAAAUUGACGAAAGUGCGAGGAUGAUACCCUUCGGAAAGUCCGAAGGUGUCAAAAGGAUCAAAAGUGCAUUGUGGG